rnacentral:lncRNA from 1 species
AACAAAUCCUAAUGAAAUCUUAAAUCAAUUUCAAUCAAACUUUAAUAAAAUCCUAAAUAUUAAUCAAACUUUAAUCAAACCUUAAAUAAAUAUUAAUUACAUCCUAAAUCCUAACCUUAGACCAAAUUCUAUUGAAAUUCUAAAUUCUAAUUAAAUCCUAAUUAAAUCCUAAUCAAAUCCUAAACUCCAAUCUUAGACUAAAUCAUAUUUAAAUCCUAAAUAAAUACUAAAUCUUAAUUUUAUAUUAAACCCUAAUAAAAUCCUAAAUCAUAAUCAAAUCUUAAUGAAAUCCUUAUCAAAUCCUAGUCAAACUCUAAUCAAAUUCUAAAUCCUAAUCCUAGAUCAAAUCCUAAAUAACUCUAAAAAUAAUUCAAGUAAAAUUCAAUUAAUUACUAUAGCUAUUUGAAACCUCAAUAAAUAUUAAUUGAAAUCUAAAUCUUAAUUAAAAUUUCACCUAAACUUCAAUCAAUAAGCAAAUGAUAAGCUUCCAAAACCUCUCGGUCAUUGGCUUCUUUCCUUCUCUGAUUUGAAUGUUAAUUUUUCAACAUCAAUUUUUCCUUGCUGAAUUGUUCAAUCACUCCAAAAAUUGAGUUGUGGGUAGAUAAUUGCUCUCACUAAUUUUUUCUUCAAUCCAACUAGCAAAUACUGCUAGAUCUUAGAAUCAUUCACUGACUAUAAAUCUCAAAUUUUGAAGACCAUAACAUACAAAAAUCUUCAUGUGCUUCAAUCUAACUACUUGAUUGACCUCAAAUUUCUUCCACACAUUUACAACAAGCACAACAACAAACCAUCCAAUUUUCAUUUAUUCACAUACUACAAAACUCAAGAAAUCCUCAAAUUUAUAAAUAUAUUUUUAUUUCUCAAAAUCUAAAUCCACCAAGUACAUUACUAACUUUGGAAAUUCUUCAAAAUCUCAAUAUUGAUCCAAAUGACAUGAAACCAAGACUUAAAAUUCUUUCCUUAAGUCUGCUUUCACAUUCUACAAUUGGAUAUGCAAAAAAACCCUAAAGUCGCCAUAGGUGCUUACUUUUGUGCCUCAGGGUCUGAUUUUGAUCCUUGUUGGCAACCAGUCCACUCCGGAUAUUAAUUCUUGUCUUCUUGAUGUAAUUUUUGCUAAAAUCAACUCCUAACUCUCUUCUACAUAUGCCUAUUUGCUUUAUUUUUCUAAUAUAUCUUAUUUUUCUUUAUUUAUGACUCUACAAAGUAAAUAGAAUCUAUUUUCAUAAAAGGUAGUUCUAACACUAAUAGAUUUUACUAUAUGCCUAUUAUUUGUCUAUAUUUUUUUACUAUAUAUUUUUAAUUAGGCUCUUCUAUAAUAAAAUAAUUAUUUUCUUCUUUCGCCUAAUGGUUGUGUUAUUAUAUAACAUCAUUUGGCUUGAAGAAGAAUUUGACGCUUGUAUGAUUAGAUGGUGUAGUUGAUGAUGCCUUACAACUUUGAGUUCUCCAAAAUGUCUCCUCUAAACAAGACCAACUCUAUUAUAAGAGAUAAAGGGAGAAGAUUGAAUAAUUGAAGAAAGUAGAUUACUAAACAAGAGAGUAACAAAGUGAAAGAGCAAAAGGAAGGUAAAAAGAAUCAAAGUUUGUUCUAAUACUAUGUUGCAAUCAAAUGAUUGCAUCAUGCUUCAAAGAUCAAAAAGGUUAAGUUUUACUUAAUCAAAAGAAGUAUAAUACACCAAGAAUCAAAUCUACUUAUACAUACUAUAUAGUCUAAGUAUAGGUAUGCAAUUGAAUGAGUCAAUUAAUACUUUAUUGACAUAUCAACAAAUAAUGAAAGGAAUAGGACAAGAGAUGAAUUUCAUCACAAAUUAUACAAAUUCAACCUCACACCUCAAACUAUUGUGAAAAGUUGGAAUCCAACUCCAUUUCCAAAACCUCUCAACAGCAACAAAAUUUUGAAUAUCCAAAAGGAAGUAGCUCCAAAGAAUAAAAAAUUAUUAGCACACAACUCUUGAUGUCACCAAGCUUUUAAUAAUCCCAUCUCACAAAACUUCUUGCAUCUUCAUAAUAAUUCCUACGUCCUAAUACACAAUGGGGAAUCAAAUUCCUUGCAUUGAAUUGAAUUGUGCAAGUUUCAGAAAAGAACUCAAGGAUGGAUCAUUCAUUUAACAUAUUGGCAUUCAAAAGUUAAUCUUUUGUUCAACACAUCAAACAAUAUGUUGAUAAUUGAAACAUUCAAAAAAUAAUGCAUUCAAAGGGAGAGGAGAGGAAAAAGACCGGGAAAAAAGAUCCGUGAGAAAUCAACCUUGUUUCCAGGGCUUUCGUCGGCACAUCACCCAGCACAGCAAGAUCUUCAAAUUGCUUUCACAACUCAAUUGCUUUGCCAUCAACAGAGACACAAUCUGCAUCCUUGUUUUGGUUCGAUGCCUCAAAGGUCAGGGAAACCACAAACACACACACACACACACACCCAGCAGAUGCACUGAGCCAGAAAAAAAAUGACUUCAACGUCAAAGCUCUCGCCACAAGCAGCGACUGCAAAAGACAACUGCAGGGACCCACAAGCGCAAAACAGAAGAAGAGGAGGAGGAGGUACAAGCCUGCCAAUGCGGCUAAUAAAUCAAGGUGUUUAUACAAUCACUGUGGAGGGAUGUAUUCCCAUGGCCCUACCACAUGACUAGGAGGCCCUCGCCGAGCAAUUUGAGUGACCAGAAGUGUAGCUGUAUCCCAUGUGGGCAAAUGACUGUUUACUUUGCUUCUAAGUUUCGGAUCCUAAUCCUAUUCAACAGAAUGUUUUUGGAGACAUACCUGCACUCCAAGUCAGCGUUCUUCAGCUCACAAUGAACAGAGGGUAGCAACUCUUACUUCGUCCCUUGCAAUUCCUUGGAGCUAUAUUUAUAGCUGAGUAUGAUGGUUAUAGCUGUACUAAGUUGGCUUUGCGGAGAGGUAUGUUUGCUUCCAAAGGUGUCGUCAGAGUCCAACGAGCAGGAUACGGGAAUCCUUUGGGUGCCUCCAGUUGAAGGUGCCACACCAUAAUUUUGAGGCACCCAGGUGGUCGUCCUUCCAUGUAGCUUUCAUCUGGGACGAGCUGCUCAAUAAACGAGGUUUGCUGCACAAAGAGAAAGCCGACGAGGAUUCAGAAUUAGUGAGAAUGCGUGGACAAUAAUUAUGAGUUGAUCUACACAAUCAUUGCGAAUUGAUAUGUGUGUAACCAGUACCGACCUGAGAGCUUUCCUUGAUACUGUCCAGCUGCCGGAUGGGCUCCAACGUGGGACGCUUCCACCGACGUGGAUCCCAUAACAUAGUUGAGUUGAAAGCAAAUCCAGACAUGUCCACAUGAAACCGUCUCAGCCUCUUGCUCCUGUCACUUGUAUGCCAUCCUAUAACCUUCUCACCUUCACAAACGGGACCCUCAAAGACGACCCGGGACUUGCCCGGCGCCAGUAUUCCCACCAACCAAGUGCCAAAGCGCCUGUACAAACAACACUCACAUCAUAAGCGUUGAAGACAUCCUUGCCACACCAUAACGAAGAUGCGGCAGACACUAGUGAUAAAUAAGUACACACCCUAAGGUGGCUUCGAGAAUAGGUUAUAGCAGUAGCUCAAAAACCUUCAAGUAAUUUGGCUGUUAAUAUUCAGAAAAAAUCACAGAAGGGUGAAAGACGGAAGGCUUCGCACGUGAUGUUCCUCAUCUGCUCAAAAAGCUCCAAAGUAUACAUGUUGCCAUCGUCGGCAAAGUAGACGAUGCCGUCAAGCUCGUGGUGUUCAAUGUGGGCCAAGGCAGUGUUGCGCUGGGACGCCGCACGAUCCUUCACAUUCGUAAGGUUUUUGUCACACACAAGGUGGCGGUACAUGAUCCCAGUCUCGCGUAACAGCUGAGCUGUCUCUAGCGACUGAUAGUGCAUUUCGACCACCAGCCACAAUAAAGGCGGUGGGACAAGCUUUAAGGUGUGUGCUAGCCGUGUCAAGUAGUACGCUCCGAACGGCCGGACGUAUGUUGGAGUUACAAUAAUUAGCAACUUUCUGUACUCCAGAGGCAUCUCAAAAUUAACUCCCACACCUGACAAUAAUUCGAAGAAUUCACCGCCAUCAAAACAGAAUAGUCAUCUUAGAUCUAAAGCCGAAGAUAAACGAUUCGCUGGAUUAUUCCUAAUUUCCAGACAAUUGCACAAUCGCUCCCACCAUUCCUCAUGUGGGUGAUUGGAUGUGGGGCAGUUACACUUACAAAGAUUCUCUACUCUUUCUAAGGAUAGCGUUGCACCAAAAGGUCACCUGAAAAAUUGUUCUUAGCCGCAUCGAAGCUGAUCAUGUCUCUCCCCUUCGUCGCUGUCUUCGCAUCCAUCAAUGCAUUCGUAGCCACAAAUCUUCCAGAUAGAUCUACAUCUGUGGUCUUGGCAUCACCAAAAAAGGGUCUUCCAUCAACAGCCAAAGAAUGUUGCAUCCACUUGUGAGGAGUAAACCACCCCAAACAUAAGCCUAUAGUGAAACAUACCCCGAACUGGACAAGCAACUUCUUCCAGCUGCUCAUCUUUGCCGCACCUUUCUGGCUACCCUCUGCUGGUCCGACUAAUCUCAUGUGCAGGUAACAGGGAAGAAGCAGCAGAGCCUGAGCUAGAGACAAUGCCGCAGUUGCCAAGAGUGCUAAGAGUGGAUGGGUAUGCUGCUGCUGCGAGGGAGCUGUCUUACCAGCAAUAGCCGCUCUGGGAUCACGGAUUUUCUGUAACAACGUCUUCCUCAAAGAAGCCAUGACCAUCACGAAAUCAACCCCUCCAUGCCCUUGUGACAAACUUCACAACCUGUACAGAUUUUACUGAAACCCUAAGUCUCACACGUCCCCUUCUUACCCUUAAUCUCUUCAUUUGAAGCACCUAGAGCUGCACCCUUCCAUCUCCCUCUCCUUUCUCAAACCACUCCAUACCAUGAUCUCUGCAUCUCUGUCGAUCCUGGAAACUAAACAGCGAACUCAACUCCGACACUCCUCCCUGAGUCUCGACCACGUCCAAUCUCUUUCUCUGUCGAUACCCUCACUCUGACAAGAGCCUUUUGUAAAAAAUUGCCCAUCAUUCUAACCACUCAUACUGCCCUAAUUGAGCUUGCAAGGAAUCCCGGUGGCUUGAUUCAGCAUCACAAUUAGGCAUGAAAACUUCGCUCCUGGGCAGCUCCGUGUCAGUGGCGACCACGUCACAAGCGCAACCAAUGAGUCCCAAUCCAAAGCAAACACCACACGAAGCUGUCUAACUCUUCCCUGACGAAACUGCCACCACCAGCGAAACACACGCUCUCCGCCGCGUAAGAGAUGGCUAAGUCCAAUUUCAUCACUGGAGGACAUGCAAGGUGUUAAUCACGUUGACCAAAGCAAGAGGAUAACAACUUCGCCCAGGAAAGAGCCUCCUCCUCCCUCUCGCACUUCAAUCCUUCACUUGAGGGGGUAGCGACACGGCAGCUCCCUAUUCUGCUGCCCCGGCCAGCUUGCAGUCACUGAAUCUGUGCUGUCUCGCUAUCACACCCACUACUCGGCUCGGACAUCGCAAGGUGUGCAAAACUGGUCAAGAUGCCAGCAAUUGCCGGAAUAAACUAAAUUUGUUUCACCCUCUUCCAAUUCUUUUUCGUUCCUUUGUCCGUUGUCAAGCUAGACUGUUUGGUGGUCAACGAUCCGGACGAAAGCUCCUCAGCAGCUCCGUCCCGGUGGGGACUUCGUUCUUCCUGCCAAAGAUAGAAUUUUCCACGUGGAGUAUCUUUCUGUUGCACCAAACUAGAAUUCUCUGCCUCGCUACAGACGAAGAAUUUUCACGCUGGUACCGACAAAAGGGUUGGGUAAGUUCAGGGGUGGGGUCGAACGUCUGCGUCGCGCAUUCGUAGGCUCCAGGUUCCAGCCAAGCGGGCACAAGGAGGAGGUCGCUUCAUCACAUCGUCCCUGCAGUCUUACGUUUUCGUUGCUGUCACCACCCAUCUGCACGCUACAGCAAUGUACCUGGCGAUGGCUAUGGCUAUGGCGCAACUGACAGCAGUUGUGCCCUCCUUCAUAGCUCGUCCGUCUUCUAUCUCUGCUCCUGCUGAUGCUGCUUCGCCGUUUCGUCUCCAAUUCUGAUAUUCCCUCCGACGGCUUCCUAUUUGCUCCGCCCAAACGCAUGGUAAGUGUCGGAAUGCAGCUCACCUUCCGUGUGUUUUGUACGGAAUAUGUGAUUAUCUACGCAUUGUUAUUGAUUUUGUUGUUAAAGGAAAUAUCCAGUUGCAUCGUACAACUUAAGGUGACUCAGCGUGUUGCAGCGGGUGAAGAUAAGCGUCCAUUUCAGUUUGAAACAUUCAUCAUCUUACGAGGAGGAGGUGUUCUUGAACAACUUCUUCAGUUGUUGAUGGUUCUCACUCAUUCUAGAUUCUCAGAUACAAUGUGAUGAAGUCUGGAAGUCGAUGAAGCUUUUGCGGCCUGUCUUGGCAUGCUUCCUUCAACUUUUUGCACAGAAAUGGUUGCAACAAGGACUCUAAUUACGUUUCACAUCGGGGGAACGUCACUCACCAUUCCCUUCUUGCAGGAUGCAGCGAAGGGUCUUAACGCUGCCAUAGCUGGUCUCAUGACCACAUUUAGGGAGAAAGAAAAGGCUGAGAGGCUGAGGCGGUGGGAGAACAUGGAGUACCGCCACACAGAGGAUGGCGUCUUCUUCGAGGUUUUCUGCAACCCUAAUGCUCAUGCCACAGCAUUCCACGCAAAAUACUUGGUCACUAUCAACGGCGAGAAGUUGCGAAUCACCUCCGAAAGUCAACUUAGCGCUCUAAAAUCCGACUAAGACCAAUAUAUUGACCAACAAAACUAAUCACGACUCUUUGAAGUUUGUUUCGACAAUAAUGUAGAAUUUAGCCAGGGUUCCUGGUGAUAGGUAGAAUGUCAGCAAAUAAAUAUAUCGAUUCUCUGGAGCAAGACAAUUGCGACCUACUGCAGCAAUUUUUCUUUACCCCACGUCUGAUGUGAUGCCUUGACUAAAGAAAAGCAUGAGAUUUGCUGGAACGUCACUCGUUCAAGCCUGGAUUUCGAAACUGCAUGGACUGCAUGGACUGGUUCUGUCUAUACGUAACGAGGAUUAGCUUAAGAUUUUAUUCCCGCAUGGCAUUCACACAAUUGUGGACUUUUAAUACGACAAACGCGAGACCUAAAGACUACAGCCCGUCAAGCAAGGGAAGAUACAGUGUGAGCUUCAGCAAGCUGAUCCAAUCGGAAAAAAAAUUCGAAUCUUUUGUACUCUGUGGCCUCAUUACCGUUGUCCAUGCCCAUACUUGGACGUAAGAAUAUGGUUCGACAUGUAAGAUAACCUCUCCAAGUUUCAGGACAAAACACUACGAUUGAUCAGGCUUAAUGGAAAUUUCAUACACCCAACCCUCAUGUGCACCCCCUGCCAGCGAUUUCCGGGUUCCUGGAGCCUCGCAAAUAUCCAUCUUCAAUCUUUGAACUUCCGCAUUAACUGCUAUAUCGUUACUGCACAGAGAAACCAAGGAAAAUUGUUGGAGACGUCGAGACACAAUCGAACGGAGAUGGAAACGAAGAACCUUUAGGCACUUUACGUGCUACGCGGCACAAGGCUACAUUAUUUUAAUGCAUUUGUUCGUAUCUACCGCUUCUAACUUGAUUAAGGGAUAACGUUAGAAGUGGUUGAUGACAAACCUUUUGAACCGGGAAACAUAACCCAGAAUAAACUUGCAGGACCCUACAGGGCGAAGCUCCAUGAGGGCUUUCACGGUCGCAAAGAGAGGUUUUACAGCGCUUUGGUGAUAGCGUGGAACCAGUUGGUUAAGAAAACUUGCUCAAACCACAAACCCAGUUUAACUCAUUUAUUCUGAAAUCAAUGCAGCUAGAACAUGUGAAACAAACGUUGUGCAACCCACUUGGAAAACUACGCCCAGCAUAGGCUGAAUCUGAUUGAAGAAUUUCACGAAAAAGGAUAUAGAUGUCUGCACCCAAAAUGAGGUCGAAACCAUCAGGGUAAGUCUCCUUGAUGUGUCCUACGUGGACUUCGUUGCCCCAGUCAAGCUCCUCACAAUCCACCUCUACGACAGGAAGGAAAUUUCAUCAGAAGGCAUAUCGAGGAAUGGCAAAGAUUUCCGAGUCUGAAUCAUUCAGAAUACAUUGACUAGAAACAGUUGACUCUGUAAGCCACAACUCAUGAGCGAUUCCGCUAGGUUAGAACAACAAAGUACAAUCACGCGGAUCCAUGUAGCUGCACAAUUGCCCUCAAUUACUGAAAGAACGCUAUACGGGAUUAUUUGAAGAAGCUAGGAACAAUGGACAGGAUUCUUACUUGAUUGCAAAGUAUCACCCUGCAACUCCACAUUCUUUUUCAUUACCUGCAUAAAGAGAAAUUUCUUUCUCAAAUUCAAUUCAAAGACGUGACUUUCAUUGCAUAGAAACAGAGAAGAAAGGUCGAAUAAGAAAGACAUCAAAUUCCCAUUUUGCAAAGAAGAAUCAAAACGACAUAUGAGGCGAGGAAUGACUUAAUCUGUGCACUUAAAAACAUUCACGACCAAUUUACGGAUGACGAAUCCAAAACAAGAUAAUAGGUUUAAGGAUUAAGACUAAGAGCAUGCGCAGAGUGGCAUGCCUUUAAUACGGUGGUGUUGUGAUCAGUCAUGACUACAUGACGACUGUACCGGGCACACAGCAAACCAUUGAGACCUACAAUCACCUCCCAGAUGUUAAUUCCCAAUACAUUAUAAACCAGUAGAAAUACAUUCCACACAAUGGCGGAAUUUUCGUCUUCUGCAUGACGGUCAUAUCCAGCCUCAUGACGAAAGUUGUCAAUUCAGAAAGCUCUUAAGAGUAUAGUAUUCAUGAACCACCCUCUGUAGAACAAACCUUUGACGCUGUGAUCUUCAACACCAACAUCCACUAAAAGAUCACCACACUCGUGUACAGUCAUAAGUAGUCUUCCAACACCUGUGAGAGGGGUGCUUCAAACGGCAUCUAAUAAACCGCUUACAAAAACGGCGUGCAGCAUUGAAACAUAAAGGUCCGGGAUAGUGUGGUUGUCCUGACAGCAUUCAAUUGAACUCAAUAGUAUAACGUAGCACUUGACCUAAGAUUACGAUUACUUGAAACAAAGAGUAGAGGUAGUACAAGAAUGCUCUCUUAAAAUAACAAAGGGGCUCUAACCAUCCCAAGUGCGAAUAAGAGACGGAACUAGGGUGAUGCACUCAUUUCACGCGGAGCACUGAAUUGUUUUACACUUAUCAGAAGCAUAAUAGUUCGAAAGAGACCAAACUUAGUCUUGAACUUCUGCAGAAAGACCACAAUCGGGGAGGCUAUCUUACCAACUCCUGAUCCUAGUUCGAUCACAGAGACACCGUCAAGAACAUUUGAAUGACUGACUAGGUAAUCGUUCAGAAUUCCAGCUCCUGGCCACACCAGCUGCCCUGUGAGAUCAUAAUCAGCUGCAGCCAAAGUCCGAUCCUAGCCGACGUCAGAAAGCCGAACCAGGUCGUUAAAAUAUCACAACAAAAGACUUAAUAGCCAGUUUACUACUUUCAGACGCCACGGGAUGGUGGUGUCAAAACCAACUUCAUCGUCAUUAGAACCUCAUUUCUUAUAAGCAUAUGUUAUAAGAGAGGACACAAGUCAAUUCCGCUACUCCUAAUCCUUCACAUUGCAAAAAGAUAAAAAGAAAAGUGGUAGGAUAUUCUUAACACGAUGGGCAACUGUUCGAUAUUUCUGAAAGGUUCUCCUGAGAUUCUUUAGAGAUCUCUAAUCCAGUUUCGAGAACCUACGUUCAUGCUAAACUACUCAAUGAGUUACAGUUUUGACGAAUAAUUGUUCGGAUUCUAGUGAAGCAAAAACCAAGAGAUCAAAAGCGCACUCACUUGACGAGCACUGAAGGCACAGAACCUUAAUCGUAUGAGCCCCAACAACGAAUUCCUUUUCAACAUAUCUGCAAUCACCAUGAACAACAACCACUCUCUCACUUCAACGACUUCUCCAUUCCAUGAUCAGUCGAAACAUGCAACAAAUGCUGAUUCAGAAAGACGAAUCGCAAUGCACUUCAGGAUACGUAAAAGCCAAAAAGCGCCGUGACAUGUCUACGUGUCACCCUAAACCUCAAAUUCAAACCCCUGAAUCAAUUCGGAAUCUAUUCAGAGAACUGCAACGACCCCAACAAUUCAUGUGACAAUCGCGCACUUCCAACUGAAAAAUCAACAAAGCCGAUCACAAACGGGAUAAACCCCACAAACGGUAAGCAUUAAACCAGAAGGUUUAAGGCUCGACUUCCGUCCCCGAAACAGACAAGAGUGUAAGAAGGAAUUUCACAGGUCAGGGAGUGGGUUACGUUUCAUCAACAAAGAAGGAGGCAUCGAAGUAAGGCUCCUCGCUGUCGGAACCGGAAUCGAUCGAUGGGUCCGCGUCGAUGGCUGCCUCGGUUGCCAUUGCUUCGACAAUUCCAGUCCUUCGCUGCAACUCCCCUCCAAGGCCUCGAAGAACAGGGGAACUGCCCCCAGCCGCCGUGAGCCUGGACAGCAUAUUACCCUUUUCACACCGAUACUAGUCAGUACCUCUUCACACUGGCACUUGUCGAGUCAUUUUCACACUAACACUGGUCGAUCCCUUUUCACACUGGCGUUUCUUUCUUUCUUUCUUUUUUAGCAAUUUCAGCAUGGAUCGUGGGGUUGUACACUCUAUGACAUACUGUUCCGUAUAUCCACGUGUUAUCCUUUCACAUGUUAUACGACGAUCUAGUAUUUUUAGAUGAAAAUAAAAAAAAACUAAAGUGAAGGAAAAUUUGGGAAUAGAGUGAAAAGAGAUUGUGUAUGGAUGGGGAGAAAAAAAAAAAAAAAAAAAAAAAAAAAAAAACUUGUUGGUAUGUUGAUAUUUUCAACAGGAAUUUGUGAAGUAGAAUAUUUUCAAAGUUUUGUACUUGUGAUGAGAUUUUUGUGAAGUAAAUCGAAAAGAAUCUUUGGCAGUGUAAAUAGAUGUUUCAAUUAAUACUAAAAACAUUAUUCUACGUUUUAUUAUAAAAUAGUAUGGUAAAUUAAUAUGUUCUUAAACUUAGGAGAUUCAACAUUGUUGAUAUAUAUACGUACAUGGAUGUUUUAAGACCGUAAUUUUCACAUGGGUUUUAAAUUAUAAUUUAUGAUAUGUUAUGAGAAGAAAAAAAUUGUUGAUAAUCGGUUGAGUAUUCAAAUUUUAGGAUUUUAUUUUGUGCAUACCCCUUAUUUUUCAUUGUGUUGUAUGCUUCUAAAUAUAGUUGAACAAAAUAUGUGUUAAAAUAACAUCAGUUACAGAUAACUUCUUAUUUUAAAAACGCUUCUGAAAAGUUCUCAAUUUUUUUUGUCAUUGUGAGAAUAUAUGUAUAUAGCUAACAUAUAUUUUUACAAUAAUUAUUAUUUAUCCAAUGUCUCAAAUAAUCACUUCAGUUUUCUAUACCUUCCAAGUUUGUGACAGUGUAUUGAAAGUGAAAAAGGUCUCAAAAUAAUUCUGUAUCCAAUUCAAAUGUACAAUAGAUUUAGGAACAUAAUCUUAUUCCAUAUGCUUAUUUUUAGAUUGUAUUUUUUAAAAUGUUAGUGGCAUCCAAAUCAUAUUUGUAAAUGACAGUCAAAUUACAUUUGAAAGCACAAACACUAAUAAAUGAUGUAAAUAGUUGAAUUUUUGUUGCACUAAGUGUAACCAUUUGCUACAUAGAUCAAUAUACUAUCGUGAACCAGAUGAAAAAAAAUCACAUUAAAUAAUUGGGCACAUUAGUACUGAAAAAGCACUUACCACAUAUUGUAUUGCACAUGUGUGUUUCUUUAAAAAUAUUUGUUGCAUCUAUGUAUACACACUUGCAUAAAUAUAAUAUUUUUAAAAGAAAAUUUUGCUAGAAGAAAAGAUGUUGUCACAAACACAAUUCUCUAAAUCAAAAGGCUCAAAAUUGAAAGUUUUCCCAAAAUUGAAGGCUCAUGUCCAACCUCAAAAGAAAAAUCUAAUUUAAAAUAGAACCUGAGUUGAUCAAACGUAUCCCGUUCCAUGGCAAUUGAUCAGACUAAAUAUGAUCCAACACUAUAUUUUACAAACUAUUAAACACGUAUUCUGACUUGGUCGCCCCAGACCUAGAAAUACUCUACCGAACCUAAACCACGGUCAACGAAGUCCAGACCUGAGCCUCGGGGUCCGGUUCUGACGAACCUGGGGUUCGGAAACUAGGUUAGGUCGAGGGGCGGAGAGCGAGUGAGCUCAUCGCGAGUCUUGAGCCAUUGCGUCUGCGUCGUCGCGCUCAAUCUCUCCCUCCUCGUCCCUCACCCCAUCGGCAAUCUCCACAUGAUCUCGCCCUUCUAGAGGCACGCCGCGUUGUCUACAAAUCGACGAGUGAGGGGCCGCGGGCCUGGAGGCGGAGCGUAUUUCCCCUUGAUCAGGUAUGCGCACAGAGACCCCGCUUUUCUUCUGACGAAUUUUCAGAGUUACGAGGUGGAGACUGCUCUGUCACGAAGUAGCAGGAUUUGUAUUAGUACUGCUACUUUGCGCCAAGGAUUGAGAUUUGUGGUGGUGGGAGUAUGAGCUUAGAAGCGGCGAUGCUUGUGUUUGAAUUGAGUUGGUUUGUGGGUUGAGUCCAUUCAUGCUGGGUUAGGGUUUGGACCUUGCAUUCGCAGGGUCCUUCUCCCUUUCGUGUUCUUCUCUCUCUCUCUCUCUCUCUCUCUCUCUCUCUCCCCCCCCCCCAGAUUCCUGCUUCCCUUGUUCAGCGGUGUGAAAUCGCUGUCGUGAGAAUUUUUUAUGGGUUUGGGUUUGUGGUUGGUUUCGCGGGGUGGAAUAACACGCUUGGCUGUUUCAGUUCUAUCUUUCGUGGUGAACUCUUAGUUUGCGACAAUUUUGUUGUAGUCGUAGCUGUAGGCAUGGUUUUCAACAGAGAUGAAGUUGGAUUUUAUGAUUUUCUGUUAUGCAAUACAUGGAUGAAGGGAUUCAUUUUUUCAUAUUCGAUAUCGAAGUAACAGAGUGCUUAAUCCAUGCUCCUCUUUGGUUGCUAACGCUAGCAAACAGUUUUUUAAAAACAGGGACCUACAUUGGCACCCAUGUCACCUCAGCAACCGCAAUUACGAGUUCCCGAGGUGGCCGAGAAUCUCGACGGAUGGGGCCCUCCUGAUGAAAAUGCCACCCUGCCAUCCCAGCUUCAGAAUGUCCCCUAUGCACCUUUCAUCAAGAGUACACACCUAGGCCGUGCUUCUGACUGGACUCGCAACCCUCCUAACCGCUUCAAUCAGAACCGUGGCGAUGGUGUCUUUGAUUACUUCUUCGAUGAGCAAGACGAAGAAUCUUUCCGACUCGUAGAUGGGAAACCUCCUGCACGUCCCAAGUUUGGCCCCAGGUGGCGUUUCCAGCAGAAGCCGCAGUUGCCGCAACGGAAGGACGAAGAAGAUGCCAGAAGAAAAGAGGCUGAGAAAGAAAGACUGCGGCGGGAUAAGUUUUACAACCAGAACAGGAACUUACAAAGGAGGGAGACGGCCACUUUCAAAAGUUCUGUUGAUAUCCAACCUGAUUGGACAAUUCUUGAGCAAAUUCCAUUUUCAACUUUUGCCAAGCUCAAUUAUUCUGUUGGAGAGGCAGAGGAUCUUGCGCUCUGUGGAGCCCUUGAGUUUUACGACAAGACGUACGACCGUGUGACACCUAAGAGCGAGAGACGGCUUGAAAGGUUCAAAAACAGAAACUUCUUUAAGGUAUGCAAGCCGUGUAUGACAAUAUCAUUCAAAGCUUCGCGGUCGCACGUAAUGUUGUCAUUAUACUCUUUUCGCUCUGCAUUUUCCGGAUGAAUUGUUGCUAGGACAACUUAAGUAUGGUGAAAGUGUUUCCGACCUGUACAAUUGGAAUUUACUCUGUCCAUUAACUCUGAAGAUGCCUAGGUGAUGUUCUUUUCCUUACGGACGUUGCCUCUGUUGGUUUCAGGUCACCACUACUGAUGAUCCUGUUAUUCGACGCUUAGCAAGUGAAGACAUGGCCACAGUAUUCGCUACAGACUCAAUUCUGUCAACUCUUAUGUGCUCUCCUCGAUCUGUCUACUCUUGGGAUAUUGUGGUGCAAAGAGUGGGCAAUAAGCUUUUCUUCGACAAGCGAGAUGGCUCACAGCUGGAUCUGCUGACUGUGAAUGAGACUGCUCAAGAAUCCCUUCCCGAAGGCAAGGACGAUAUCAAUUCUGCUCAAAACCUGAGCAUGGAAGCUACCGUUAUCAAUCAGAACUUCUCUCAGCAGGUACUUUUCGUUUUUUGGACAUGGGUUGCUAUUUUAGCACACCAUACUAAAUGUCAAUGCAGGUUAUGUAGUGUAAAUGGAUGGCUAGCACCAAUUAUCAACCAACGAUGGCGGCCUGUAAGAACGCUUUUCACACUAAUCAUCCCUGUUGACAGUUAAUUGCUCACGAACAAUUUGUCGUCCUUCUCUAGCUUUACUUAUUAUGCCUUGUGCACAGAUCCUUAUCAAAGAUGGAAACAAGUUCAACUUCCAAGAGCCGAACCCUUUUGCUUCCGAGGGAGAGGAGGUCGCUUCUGUAGCAUACAGGUAUCGUCGAUGGAAACUGGACGAGAACAUCUCUUUGGUUGCAAGAUGUGAGGUCCAAAGUCUGAUGGAAGUGAAGGGUCAGAGAACACUUAUGACCUUGAAUGCUUUGAACGAAUUCGACUCCAAAUUUACUGGUGUCGACUGGCGUCAAAAGCUGGAAACUCAGAAGGGAGCAGUUCUUGCUACCGAGCUGAAGAACAACAACAACAAGGUGGCAAAGUGGACUGCUCAAGCCUUACUUGCAAGCGCAGAAGUCAUGAAGAUUGGUUACGUCUCUCGUCUCCACCCCAGAGAUCCUUACAAUCACGUCAUUUUGGGUGUACAAGGUUACAAGCCAAAAGAAUUUGCUGGGCAGAUCAAUUUGAACUUGAACAACAUGUGGGGUAUUGUCAAGUCAGUUAUUGACAUUUGCAUGAAGCUAGACGAAGGAAAAUAUGUGUUGGUGAAGGAUCCCAUCAAGCCUCAAGUACGUCUCUAUGAGGUCCCGGCAGAUUCCUUUGAGAAUGACUACUUGGAGGAGCCAAUUCCAGAGGAGGAGCAAAUGCAACCUGUGCCUGUUGAGGAGCCUAUUGUGCAGCCAGUUACUGAAGACAAGGAGGCUGAAGUCGAUGCGGACGUUUGAGAAAAUUCACUAGAUUUGUUUAUCACGUGUUUUGAUCCGUCUUCAGUUGACGAUGUAUGCUUUAGUAGGUGGUUUAGUAUCUUCAUUGGUUCCAUGGGAACGUUCUAUGUUGAGUUGGGAUGAAAUUGAGCUUCUAGUUUGCGUGGUCGAAGAAGAGCUCUUUCUAAACACAUUUUUAUAUUCAUGUUCUUGUGUCUCGCUUAGUGUUUCUUGCAGGGAAUAUGUCAGAUAUCUGGUCUAGACAAAUCAUGUUAAGAGGGAAUCAGGUAUAGUUUUAGAACUCGUGAGAGUUCUGAAGAGGUCGGCAUAGAUGAGAAUGUUUCAGUGUAUUCUGUUGUAGCUAUUGGGUGCCUACAUACUGCAAUGACAUGUUUUUCUGGGCUGCUUGGAUCGUGACUGAAAUUUGUGAUGAUAUACGCUUUGUUUUGUUUUGAUUUGUUUUGUUCUGUCUUUUAAUGUUUUUAGUCGAUCACAAAAUCAGAUUUAUACUCUAGAAUGUAAACCAGAUUCUGUUGACCUUCGUUACUAACCUUGUGGCUUCUGUUCCUAACUGCGAUCUUACUUUUUAAGUAGUAAUCGAGCUUCUUUGUUACAAUUGCGGUACAGUUUAUGAACUGAUACUGCAGUUUGUUGCCUACAGUACUCGAUGAGCACAAAUUUGAGUAUCAUGUGGAGGUCCCUUCGCCAAACAAACAGAAUACAGUAAUAGUCUCUGACCACGACUUGGAAGAAGAGGAGCAGUCUGAUAUAAAAGACAAUAAUCCCCCUGUCUGAGACGGCGACAUUAUACGUGAGAAGUUGUCGGGAAGGCUACUGUAAAUGUGGCUUGUUACUCUGACACUAAUGAAUAGAAUUUUCAUUUAGAAAAUAGAAGUUUAUUUUCCCAGUCGGGAAUGACAAUUACCCACGUACAUCCAAUUGUAGAUAGUAGAAUAUGAAGUUUAGUGCUAAUCCGUUUGGAGAGUGUUCCAUCGACCCAUGAAGUGGAACAAAAUAUGAGUUGCGCUGCAUAUGUGGCAAGCAACAAAAUUGUUAUAAAGAAACUGAAAGCUAAGUGUUUUGGGAUACUCCAUAUUUUAUGCAGCAUGUCGCAAUAGUUUUUAGUCUGGAGCUUCAAGUUAUCUUUUCACUUUAUUGUGGAAGUUUGGUACAUAUUGGUACGAGUAGGUACGUGUUCAAACGGAAAGGUAUCACUUUCGUCAUUUAGUAGUUUACAUCAAUGUUGAAAUCAAAGUUCGUUGCACAACGAACAACUAUAAUCACUCACAAAUAAUACAUUCCUGAAGAAAUAAUACAUCCAAGACUCGCAUCUCAACCAACGUUGUUGAAAAUCUACGACGAACUUCAUAGCGAAGAAUGAACUCUUACGAUACAAAGUCACUUAGUCCACCUAAAUAUUCUCGUAUCUAUCCAGAGAUUGCCUUCGCUGCUGAAGAGUAGCGGACCAUUUUCAGCAUGAACCAAACAUAGAAUAGACUAAAUAAAAAAUAAUAAGAAGAAACUAAAAAUAAAUAUAUCCUUGCUGAGAAUGGUCCUGCGACUAGAUAACACUAUGCGGACUAGUUUAUAGGAGCAGGCAAGGUAGAGCCAUGGGGAAAAGAACGUGGCACCAGCAAAAUUUCCUGAGGAGUCUGUUUCGAGGGGUUAUGUCGCUCAACAGCGAAGCUCCAGACAAGUGUAUUUCAGGCAGAAAUGCAUGAGCUGACAGGAUCAACGGUUGCAAGCUCUCAGUAACCAGCACUGAAGCACACGAAAACUAUGUUCAUAUCAGUCUGAAACCUAGAAUUGUCAAGCCCAAGCUGCGCAGAACCAAGCGUGAAGUGUUCAGAUAACUUACUUGAAUUUCGAGUGCAUGUUGGCUUGCCACUAGUCCUAGUCUUUAAGAACUCCCGCUCCUGAAGUUCACAUCCCUCGUCAACCGGCAGAUGGAUUCCGAAAGCUGUUGUUCUCCUCGCUUGUAUUCUCCAUGUUAACAACCUCCACACGAAUCCAGCGUUCACGAUGUAGCAACCACUAGGGAACAUUGACAACAGGAGGAUAUGUACAGAGAGUCCCAGACUCUUGAUAGGACUAUCUUCUUUGCGUUACGUCCUGGUAGAUGAUUAGCCAUUGCUAUGAGUCUACUCCGAUCCUGAUGAUACCCAAACUUCUAACCUCGGCUGUAGAGGUAUCCACAAUCCUGCGUCGUGACCAACAAGACGCUGCCGCUCUAGUUUCUGCACACAGCAAUGACGAGUCGCAACACGUUAGGGCUUGUAAAUGCUACCAAUUUGAAUAUGUACACAAAUGUCAACUGAGCGAUUAUAGACUUCAACUUCCGAGUGAUGUCGGAGGGAGGAUUCUAAACCUCACAAUGAAACCAGCACCCAGUUGAGCACCAUCAGUUACAGACAAAUAGGCUUGUUAAUUGAACAGUGAUUACUGACUGAUCACUUACUUUAACUUUGAAUCAAGGGUUUUAGAGAUAGUCUUGUAGUAGUGACGAUGAGGCUCGUGAUCCCUGAUCUUCCGAGGUUUGUGCGCGUUACAUGCAGGAGUUGCAGGGAUCUGCUCAGUUUUUGCACACUCUUGCAGCAGCUUCAAGGACGCGUAGCUUCCGAUUGCGAUCUUUUGGUUCGCACUGGCCACGUCGAGUGAAUGAACAGGUGCAAGGUUUUUCUUGGCGGUGGAUUUGGGAUGGUCCACUGGGUCUAAGUUCCCUCUUGCGAUUUUGCUGAUUAUGGGGUUGGAUGACGCCCUCGGAGACACUGCUUUUGAAUCUAUCUUCGGUGGUGGCUUUGCCACCGGACCAGAUGAUCUCCGUAGCUUGCUGAAGAACCUCCCGAAUUCUCCUGUCAACUUGUUGGAUUCGGACCCCACUAGCUUCAAGGUCUACAACAGGAACCACAAGUAAACUCGGGUUACAAAGGCCUUCCACAGUCAGAAGUGAUUGUUCUUACACUUUGUAGCAUUCUAGAAAUUGCGAGAGAGCGUGAGGAGGUGAAUUAUUGGUGCCAAUCGAAACCAGAGGUGCGGUACCAAACACGAGAGAUUACCUCGCCGUUGUCAUCUUGCUUGCGACCACCAUUGCUUCGUGGGAUGUACUGUCGAUUGUGAAAUCCAUGGGGAUCUUCCUUAAUCUCAUCAGCUGCGGAGGCAAGCGAUUUCGAGAUCAGCUGCGACACAGAAUCAUACUCGCCCCCGCCGCAGUACUGGGGGUCCCAGGAUCGGGCCACAGGCACAUCCCGCGAGCGACCCUCCAUUAUUGCGAUGCCUUGAUGGAUUUCGGCGGACGUCAUGGUUGCUCUCGCUGCUGUCUUCGCCACACCGCCUUGGCCCUUCUUCACUUUAAUACCAUGCAACGUGGGUCGCACAAAUUUCUUCGGCAUGGGCGGUGGCGGGGUUCCGACCUUCGCCGAGCUAUCCCAGCCUGGUUUGCUCUUCACAGGGCUUUUGCUGUGGUUUUUCCGAGAACGAUAGGGAGAUUUGCCCUUGGAUCGAGGAGGGCUGGGCAAAUCGAGCUCCAACUCGCGGCCGGUAACGAAAGAUACAUGCCGCGCGUUGUCCCUGCUUGACCCCGUCGACCGGCGUGGCAAGCUGUCAUCGUAAUGGCCAUCCAAGGUAAUGUCGAAGGCAAUGCCGCCCUGGGGCGAGCGAGGCGAUGAAGGGCUGAUGCUGAUACCAUCCUCAUGCCUACUAAUGUCGAAGACAAUACCCUCACUGUUCGCAGCUUGCGCCGGUGGAGGGGCAAUCCCGUUCACGAGACUGAUGUUGUGUUGGUGGUGAGGUCUUAUCGUGCGCUCCUCCUUCACUUCUGGCUCCUUCACAGUGUUGGCAACUUGGUCCUCGAGCUCAUCUUCGGGGUCUUCGUCGGAAGUUAUAUAUCCGUGCCCAGUCUCACGCCAUUCGUCUUGUUCGAUCCUCUUGGGCUCAUUCUCGGAAAGUUGCUUAGGGUGGGUGUUUCCGUUCAUGGAGGGUGGCAGGCUGACAUCCCCGUUCGCUUCAACGAGAGGGGCGUAGCCUAUCGGAUGUUUGCGGACGCUGGCCCUGACCACGGUAAUCCCAUUGACAGAGGCAGUUGACUGCUUUUCCUUCACCGGCCGCCAGGCACUGUAAGACAUGCCGUUGGAAAUUAUAGAUUGGGCCGCUAUCUCAUCGGGCUGCCAUUUCUUGAGGGAGAUGCAGUCAUUCCCAUCGUCGUCCUCAUCUUUUCCUGGUUGCGGUAGCUUGAAUAUUGGCGACAUACCUAAUGGUAGAGCUUGCAGGUCCUUCAGCCGCACCAGUUCUCCCGACUUCCGGGAAGUGGCUUGAAGCCCCGUCUCGAUCACCAUGACUGUAUUACAGAAGGUAUCCAAUCUUACAGUGAGAAUCUGUGGAGAGGGUUUUUCAAGCAUAGGAUACUGAGUCAAAACUACUUUUUUCAACCUCGCUCACUCGCCGAUUGAUUUAUCACAUUUCUUUUCAUUGCAACUACCUACUCUGAGGUCGUCACUAGCGUAGAGUGUGAAGUAGCGUUAAGGAAACCCAUCUUCGUUGCAAAUAAACGCAGUACCUCUCGAGUUUAUCCAAAUCUUACUCACAACGGCUGAUAUGAAUGUAGCUUCGACUGAAGAACUAAAAUUUUAUAGAAAAAUACGGCUUUAAGUUAGGCCACAAUAAACCGCCUGGGACAGAGGAUAUUAUCCGCUCCGAAUGAAGUCUUCAGCUGGAAAAGAAACAUUCUAUACGACGGCCCUAAGACAAGAAGAACUCUGAUGCUUACAAGCGAAGCAAAUGAAUACCGUGAAUGCACAUUUGGCUCACUAACGCUGAAGUAAGUGCAUUACGAGUCAUAAAACAAAAAGAUAUCAUGGGAGUAGUGAACAUAUGAGGAGACCAAGAAGAGCUGUUGUUUUCUUCGUACGUAUUUCGUUUUGGGGAGUUUCUACCUGACUAUCACAAUCCAAUAAAGCAUUCCCAAAACUAGUGCCCUCACGAGGUAUAUACGGUAGUAUAACUGAUACUUGGCAGUGAAUCCAUUCUAGUCGAGUUACACGGCACAAAAACGGUCAUCGCUCGCACAAGGGUACUGGCAACUUUGUAAGAUUACGUAUACCAUGCGCUGUAGCAGCAGCAGUGUCGAACGCAAAAACAGUGCACAAGCGCAAACAGUAGCCUGAGAUUGUCACCCUGUGACUUGAAUCUCGCGCGGAAGUAAACGUUGAGCACGUCAUGCUUAGGAAAAAAAACCUUGAGAACAAACGUCAAAAAUCGGUUCGCAGCAGGCACUGAAUCCAGCAUACAGAUCUCUUCAUCGCGUAUCGAAAAACCUCUUUUCACCUGAUCUAAACGGUACAUGUGACGCAAGAGAGAGAUCAACCAAAACACAACCCAACAACACCCGAGGUUCCGGAUCUCUCCCCUGGCUGCUCCUCAGUUAUCGAAGAAUGAGAUCCAAGCGCAUGCCUCACAGAAAUAAAUAAUACAUUGCAAACAACAUCGUACUGGUCGCAACCUCGCAGCGAAGAUCCAGCUAGAACACGAUCGAGAGAGCGUACCAGCUAACGACCGAUUGGCUGAUGGAAGUCGCGAAGGCAGUAUUGGCUCUCUGUGUCGCGCUCUACAUACCAGAGCAGGCGAUCACAAUGCCAACGGAACCCAACAAAGUACGCCAGAGCGUGUCGUCGAACUCAAGCUUUGUAACACCAAGAAAACUGUCGUUCCGUUCCCUUCCGUGCCUACGGCAGUCACCAGUUGGACACAAACACGCCAACAAGACGAAACUAAUGGCUCCAGUAGGGAGGGAGGGAGGGAGGAAAAUAAAGCAGCAGCAGCCUGUAGCAAGCACGCAGGAAAUCAGAGGGGGGCUGGAAAGGGGGCAAAGGCAGCAGAAAGAGCAGCGAGGGGGAUGCGCAGCGGGGAGGCAGGCAGCGCGGAGAAGCUCCUGGUCCUACUCCUGAGCCUCGCCUUCCGGAGCCUAGCCCAUUCACGGCAGUACCAUAUAUGUUUAUAUUUAGUUCUACUUCGUUACGUCUCCCUAAUUCUUCUUAUUCUCCUCCAGUUUGACAGUUCCACUCCUGAGCCAUCGUGUCGCAAUCCCGGGCUCCACAUCAGCUGGCUUCAGAUGAUUCCAGUCCCGCUUGUGGGUUCUAGCUGCUGCUGUUGCUGCAUCAUCAUCCACCUCUUGGGCCUGAUUGCGUUGAUCGAUGCAACCAGGUAUCACUCCCAGAGUUCUGCUUUCCUGAAGCUGAGGCAGCAGCACAGCCUCGAAAGUGUCAAUGUGAAAAAGAAGUAAGAAAAACAACAGUAAAUCAAACGCUUUGCGUGCCGGACAAGGUGAGCUCACGCCUCAAGCUAUGGUUCUCUCCUGGUCUGUGUCUCUCACCACAACGCUGUUUUUCCUUCUGGCGCUGCACCCGAUGCACAACCAGCAAGGUAAAAGAAAAAACAAAAAACAAAAACAAAAGAACAUAGCUUUGUGAAAAAAUGAGCCGGAGAGCGCCGUUAUUUUCUCUAUAUUUGCACACUCUUUUCUUUUCUAUUCCCCACGAGAAUUUGUGUCUUUACUGUGGAAUAGUAUAUGUUAUGUUGCGACAGGGACGAGAGCAAAGGCUUCCAACUCACCCACACAAACACACAGUACUAUAGAUAUACAUACAUACAUACAUACAUACAUACAUACAUAUAUAUCAAUGUUGCCCAGUUACAAGUCGAAGAGAACAACGAUCUGUAUCCACAGCAAUUAUGUGAUCUUGGCAGCAUUUUCUUCCAUGAUAUUGCCGAAAAUUUAGUUCUCUGAUACACAAUUUUAAAACUUUGACCUAGAAAUGACACACUCAAGUCAUACUUGGAGUCAAACUCAUGACCCAGAGGAUGAUCUAGUCUGAAUGAAUUGUGGCUAAAACAGAAAAAAGAAAAAAGAAAAAACAGGAUUUUAGCAAGUUUGGACAGUUGCGAAAAAAACCAGAUGGAUGCGCAGGUGUGAACGCGCCAUGCAGAUGUGGUUCGGGAGGGAUGGACCGUUUUCACACCGUAAGAAUUGGCGAGCCGGACAUUACGGCCCAGUCACCCCUACCAUGGCGGUGCUCAUCCGCCGCCAGGGACCGGGUCCCGGGACGCGGAAAGGAUCGGGCCGGGCCCAUGGAAUCACGGGUGACCCGGGCUCAUGCCGGCUGGUGGGGGGGGGUUCAUGGAUGAUAAACGCGCGCGGCUAUGGAUGCACAGUAUGUGGUUUUGGAUGAUCCUUAUUUCUGGUGCUGUUUAUUUUUUCAGUAUGUUGUCAAUGGAGGUGCAGGAACCUAAACACAUAUUUACUGUGAACUUGUAAACUUGUACACAAAAAGAAUUCAGGUCCUGGAAAAUCUCGACAUGUUCAGUCUCCUCUCUGGUACGUUUAUUCUUGUAAAUGAAGAGCUGCAACUUUCAUAAAGGCAAAGUCAUUUUGUCGCUUAUGAAGGGCGAUGCUGCGAAGGUUGCAGUAUCUGCAUGCAUAUAAUGUACAUGUAAGUCAAACAUGAAAAGAGAAAUUAAACCAGCAGUGGGCUUCCACAGAACUCUUGCACAAUACUUUGUGCUGCUGCUGUAGAAUCAUAUUCUCCAAUCCUCAGGUCAAAAGUGCAUCAUUGAUCGACAUCGAUGAGUGAUGCUUAUCACAUUCAAGUUCCAUGUCAGAAUACUUUCGCAGCCUGUGCAAACCGAGAUGCUGCAAAAUUUAGGGGCUGGUGGCCAUGGUGAGUUUUUAGUACCUAGGAAGCACUUUGUAAGGGUUCAGGCUACCGUUGGGCUCGAGUAGAGUGUUAAAUUUCUCCGUAAGACUAAUCUGCGAUUGCAAUACCCAACAUCGAAUGCUCAUUCUCAGAAGUUGAUACAAACCACAUUGUGAAUCGUUUAGUCAUUAAGCACAAUACACAAGUCUGUAUGUUGAUUACAGAUCUACGAUCUCAAAGGCAGACAGGAUUUUGCGCAAUUUUAACUUUUUCUUCCUCCAACAAUUUGGGGGCAGGAGCAAUAAUUAAAAAGGGUCGGCAGAAGAACGUUCAGGUCUUGCUCGGAACCGUUAACAGUCUUGAAGUUGACUCAAGGCAGCUCACGUAAUCCUCACAUGCAAAGAACGCUGCGUUGACCGACCUGAGAUUCGUAGGCACUAAAAACUCACUAUGGCCACCAGCCCCAAAGUUCCUUCAACGAUUGCAUUGCUAAUCGAACAUAAACUCCGUUUGUAAAACGAGAAAGUGCAUAAGAAGGCCAGGUUUAGAGUUCAAUGAUGAGACCAUAACUUACCAAUCAAAAUGUAUUUUAAAUCAUAUCUGGAAUCGCCUUUUAUCGGUACCCCUAGCAUAUCCCCAACUGUCUCGUCUGCAGGUACAAUUUCAAGCCCUGUCAAUUUUGGUUUUUUUCCAAAGACGUGUGUUUAUAACUCACGCGUAAGUCCAGAUGAAAAUUUCUUGAACCAAGGGUCUUUCAAAAUUUGUGAAGGCCUGUUCCAACUCAGCUGCCUCUCAUUAUGUAAUAGUCAUAGAUAAUUCACAACAUGCUCAGCAAAACCAAAAAAAUCCUCAUUAACUUGUCCUGAAAAUGACAACAUCAAAUCGCACCAACCCCCUCACGGAAAAGGACGAACUAACAUGUACACGGAAACUGCAGCACGAUGUGAUGUUCAAGGUUACGUUCUCACUUUUAGUGAUGAACCGAAUCAGCCAUGCACCAAGAAUAGCAACAUGCGAAUAGAAGCAACAAACAUUACUGAGCACACUUGAAGCAAACCAUAUCACAAAAUUCGUAAGCCAACGCAUGUUGCCUCCAAUCUGACAGCUCCCUUUGGCACUCAGGUCCACUGGUAUCGUGUAACUUAAAAAAUCAAAAUGCACAAUGUCUGAAUUCACGAGACAUUUGAGAGGUGCAUUGAGCCGUCAUUAAAGUGAUAUAAUAGGAAUAGGCUUUAAUAGCGGAAGAACAUAAGUAGUUGCAAUUCUGUUUAGCAAAACGGAACUAAAAUGUGUGAAGUGAAUAGUUCUUACAAAAUAGUUGUCAGUCCCAAAAAAAGAGUAACCAGAUCAAUCAAAAUGCAGCCAGCUUCACAUGCCAUGAUUCCACUGACCUGCAUCAAGAAUCAAGGCCACAGCUGUAGCGUAUCAGCACUCAUUGUUGCAGAACCGAGGCAGUCUGUCCUAUUGAAAUCUUCCAGAAUCAACUAUGGAAUCUGAAAAGGGCACCCCGCAGAAUGAAAUGAUCUAAACCAUUGCUCCAGGGUUCAUAAUAACGUGACAAUAAACAAUUUCCAACAAACGAAUAAUGAAGACGAUGACCACUAGAAAGGCAAGAAAAAAGUUCAAUGAGCGGCAAAAUAAAGAGCUCUACGGACAGACCUAUGAAGGCCGAUUUGUGCAACGAGAUUACCUUGUCACAAAUUGGGACACUACCUUUAACCGAGCCAUUGUUACCUCCUUGUGGCACCACUACCAAAUUCCUAGCAUUGAAACACUGAAGGAUCUCAUGUCCUAACUUGAUGAGAACAGCCAAGUAUUGGCUGUUCACAAGCCACAAUAAUAGAAUAAACAGAGAGGGCAUCGUGUUCUAUAAAUUAAGAGAAUAGCUAAACCCAACCCCACAUCAAUUUGUGAUUCAUAGCAGAUUAGUAUAACCGUUACUCACAAAUAGAUUACUGCCAAAGGAUGGUUUACUGCUUAGGGAUGACAUGGUGCAUUUCUGAAGAAAAUAAGAUAACUCAGACAUGAAUAUAUUUCUGCAUUACUUCAAAAAUAUUAGAAAGAAGUACAUAUAUUGAGCAAAAAUCCCAUCUGUUGUGUAGGGUGAGGUCGGAGUGGAAUCUGACUGGCCAAUGGUACUUGUGCAGCGAAUUUGUCCUCUACAACGCCUUGUCACCGACUACACUUUUAAGAUGUUGCACGUCCUUUUCCUUGUCAAAGCGGGUAUUCUUGUUGUUUUUUCGUAAAUACUACAAACGCCCAGAAUUGACUCGUCAUGGACCUUUCAAAUAAGGAACCUCUUCCUUAUUCAAUGGACGAAUGUAACCCAUCCUCUGCAAGACCUGGUCUACACUUAAUCACGAAAAUGAAAAGAAUUCAUGCUCUGCAACCCAUUUCAAAUGAUUUGCAUUCGAAGAAAGUAGGUGGACAAUUGCAUGGAACAGUGAUAUAUGAUUCAUCAGCAAAACCAGGGUUACAAUCUCAAAAAUGGAACGAACCGUUGAGCCAGCAAAUGCGAAGCUGAAUUGGGUUUCACCUACAAGGACGAAUGGGCGACGACGCGCCCACCAUUUUCAGCUGCCGGGUCAGACAACGUUCCAGAAUUCUGGUUAUGAAAGCCCCUUCCUUCAAAUUCAAACGUCUUGACCUAAUCGAUGUAUCUGCAGCUCUUAUCGACGAAUUCAGUCCUAGCUGCCCUCAAAGCCGGUUUCAGUUUACUGAAAUGGUGAUUUUGAGGAGCAGACUGCCUUGUAUGUAGCUUGGGUGUGCACUCAAUGCUAUUGGCAUCAGACCCGGCUCUACUUUACUAAAAUGGUGAUUUUGAGGAGCAGACUGCCUUGUAUGUAGCUUGGGUGUGCACUCAAUGCUAUUGGCAUCAGACCCCGCUCUACGCCCGAAUUAGCACCACUUGGGAUGUCUCCGCAUGUGUGGACAUGGUGAUGCGGGAAGUGAGUCUAGAUUCAGGAUUUGCGGGAAGGGUAUGCCAGGCGGAUUUGGCUUACGUUCUGCGUGAUAAGCACACUAGAUGUUCAGUACUUCAUUUCUCGGGGUGCAGUUUUGAUCAGUUCCCGAAUUGUUUUGAUCAAAACUAUGCUGUGCACGGGUGGCUGAAUUACGUAGCUGGGCCCUGACUGCUUGGAUGCGCAGCGGGGAGAUAAGGUUACAAUAACAAAAAUUCUCGGAUUGAUGUACUCGAGAGUGAGUUGAACCCAUGUCAUAGAAAAGUGCGAAUAUGGAUGCUGCGAAUUGCUGCUGCAAAAUACGAAAGUUUGCAGAAGUACUGAGAGUCCACGUUUCCUUAAUAAAACCGGAUUCAUGAUUCUUUGUGCACACAAAUGGGUGCGAUUACUAAGUAGCAUUAUACAUACAAGAUGAGAUGAUCAACCAUCGAUGACAAUCAUUUGAUAAACAUCUAAUGUCAUGCCCGUCAAUGCAAUAAGACCAAAAAAAGAGAAAAAAAACAAUUCAGGAAAGAUCCAGUCUGGUGCAAAUGUGAAAGAAUUGAACUCCUUUCAAAAGGAAGCAGUAACAUUCUCACACUCACUGCCAUCAUUGAAUCCUCCAAAGUUCCAGAAAAUUUGAUUCUACAAAGAGGUGUUCCAGAAAUUCGUUCAAAACUUUCAAUCCUUAGGCUCCUGCACACACAUUAACUAUCAUCAGAACAACAUAAUGUAAUUGAGCAUACUCAGGGGUACUAACUACGACUAUGCCUAGUUAAUCAACUGAGAUAAUCUGACAGGGUAACCUGCUAAUGGAGACGCAUGAUGCAUUACAAGGGCAUCUCUCGUAUGCCUAUGUUGAAUAGCGCAGGUAGCGAGGAGGAAAGAAAAAAAGAAAAAAAGAAAAGAAGAGAAACAGCGAUUGGAAGAAACAUCAUAGGGCAGGGAAUUUAAAUCCAUUAAAACCCCACGGGUGCCUUACCAGUUUAGAUGCGGCUGGGAUACAUGAACACUCUGACUCUGCCGCCCUGCGAUUACAACCAAGUAACAGAAUGCAUGAGUUGUGAGCAGGGUAGAUUCACCAGGUAGGUUGAAAUUCAGAGUGAUGGAAGCAUUCCAUUGGAUGGAUACAAGAGGAGGUGCUAGAAUGCAGAGCAGCAACCAACAUACCAGAGACGAGGGAGGGAGGUUGCUCCUGAAUCUGGCGCGGACAACGCCACUGCUACCGUGGGCGCGGGCCACCUUGCCCCAAAUAACACGGAACUGGGAUCCAUUCUUCUUGGUCUUGGCCUUGUAAACGUAAGCCAACCUCUUUCCAAGGUACCAGUUAACUUCCUCAGAUGUGUUCACACCUUCGAUCUGGAGGAGCGAGGUGCUGGGGUACUGGUUCGAUUUCGACCUGCAUCACCAGAAAUGAACUACUAAAAAACCGCGAAACCGAAAGUUCUCGAAAAAUCAGCUCCCAGUUACAAUAGAAUAAAAAGAAACCGGGGAAAAAAAACACAACGAAUUGCCAUAAUUUUUAUUACUCUAAAUAACAAUCAUUAAAGCCAUAUCCAAACAUAUAACAGAUCACAAUGAAACAUAAGCAAUCAGCAGGCGGAAAAUUACAUGCCCUAAACCUAAAUAUAUUUAAAAAAGUCGCCAAGCUUGUUCCACAAGAACCAAUCCCAGCCACAGCAACAAGCAAAAUAAGGAACUAGGAGUGAUGCACAACCUCUUGUAACCGAGGAUGGUACCCCGAACAUACAACCUGCCACAAAACAAACACCAAUUCCAACUGCUCAUAAAAAAAGUCAAGAGAAAGCGGAAAUCCAAUCAUCCAAGCGGAGCUCACAGUUUCCCCCAACUCAAUGAUGAAGAAACUCGCAAGUGGAAGCCUCUCCAGCGAAUUCCAGCUAGAAACCACAGCAAUGCGUCCGUCUAAACGAACAAAGGCUUGCAGAACUGUACCAUGUCGUUCUGUGGCGAGCUCAGAACUCUGUUUUUUGCCCCGUUUUUUUCUUUUUUUUUCUUUUUCACGAAGGCCACCAUGAGAAGAUGCAGUUUAGGGGGCACAAGUGGAAGUGGAAGGAGGGGCUACCUGAUGCGCUCUCCCUUGCGUUCCACCAUGGCUGCAAAGUGCGAAGCUCCGCCGCAGAAGAAGCUUGGCUUAACGACGACGACGAUGGCGAGGGCGAGAAACCAAAGAGGGCCUCCCAUUAGGGUUUCGUUGUAACAUAAGCGCGCCUGCCAUGGGAACUCUGUCGGGAACCUCGCUCCCCGGGGGCCGUUCCCAUCGGCAGGUAGCCCGCUUUGGUUCUCAUUGAGGUUCUUAAUCGUCAGUUCACGUGAUGACUUUGUGCUUAAUCAAUACUUGAUAAGCUUCAAUAUUCGAAGAUAAAUUCAUUACUUUAUUGAUUGAGUACUUAAUUAAUUAAUUAGUUAUUUAUUUCGAAUCCUGUGUGUUCAUGGAUUUUUCACAUCAUUUUUUUAUUUUUAUUUAUUUUUUUAUUGUUUUUUACUUUAUUACUAUUUUAAAAUAUUUCCUCUUGUCUGCAUACUCCAUCACUAAUAGAACCUCUUCUUCCAAAAUUUCAGUAAAGUAAUUUUAUUUUUGCGCACGUUUUUUUUAUUCUUUGUAAAAAUAUAAAAUUCACCACAUUACUAAUUGCUAUUCAAUUUUAUUUAUUUAUUUAUUUUUUUGUAAUUAACUUAAUAUAAAAAUUGAUGUCAAAGAAAUGAAUUGCAAUGUUAAGAUUGGAAAAUUUUAUUCCAAAAUUAUGGUUUUUAUUCAUACUUAAUACUUCUUAUAAUUAUUUUACUUUUCAAUUAAUAAUAUACACAUCAAAAUUAUUAAAAAAUAAUUUCAAUUAAACCAUGUUUUAUCUUUUUUUAUAAUAUUUUUAGCAUAUAUGAGUAGUUUUUUUAAAACUUUGGAAUUUUUUUAAUUAAUUAAUUUAUUCUUCUUCAAUCAAGUCUUUUUUUAGUACCUUUUAAAGAAUUGAUUAUUGCAUACAAUUGCUUGAGUAAUAAAUUGUUCUAACAAAUUUGCUUUUUAAAUUGUCAAAAAUAGAUAUUUGAUAUUAUAUUUUAAACCAUAUUAAAAUUGCUUGAUAGGAGUCUUAUUGUUCCAAUCCACAUUGCAAGCAAGUUGUUGGAAUUUGACAAUAUUGAUAGCAACUAAACAUAAUCAUUGUUGCAAAGUCUAAAACUUUGUUUUUGCUACUAUUUUUUAAAUUUCUCUCUUUGAAUGUAGCCAUAAAGACUUUAAAAAUGAAUUUAGAUCAUACAAAAGUCAUGACUCUUUUUCCAUCAAAGAUACAAACCAAGAAAUAGAACUUUUAAAUAGAAGUGUACCAAUAAGUCAUACUUGAAUGAUUUUGUGAAGGCAUCAAGAAAGAUAUAAGCUUAAAAAGAGCUUAACUUAUUGUAGAAAUCUUUGAAAUUUUGAUCUUGUUCCUUCAAACUUCUCUAAUAUACUCACCUAUGGCACCUUUAUAAUUAUAGUAGCAAGACUUUUAGGAAGGAUUUGUAAAAAUGAUAUACUUGUACUCGUUUCUCUUGAUUGUACAACAACUAGGUGAAAAUAGUAAACUCCAUUAUUAACUUCUUCUAUAGACAUAGCAAAAAUUCUCUUGUAAUUAAAAUUGCUACCAUUUUAUAUUUUUCCUUAGUGAAUAUUAGAAAACUUAAAAAGAUCUCUAACACUUGCAAAUCUAUUCUCACUUCUAUCAAGUGUAGCAUCCAUAGUUUAUUUUUCCUCCAUCUAAAUAUUAGACAACAAUAAGAAACAUAUAAGUCAAAUUUGAAGAAAAUGAUUUGCAAUCUCUAAAACUAAAUAGAAAUUUUCACAAAAAAAUAGUCUAUUAUCUUUAAAAAAUAUUUAAAGUAAAAAAAAUAAAUUUUAAAAUAAUUAAUCUACAAACAUUAAAAAUAUACUUUUUUAUUUAAAAAUAGGAUAAUCUACUUAUUUAUUAAAUAAAACAACUAUAACAAGUAAAUAGUUAUAUCAAAUUAUUAAGGACAUAAAUCCAAAUAAAAUCCAAAAGGUAAUACAUUCAUAUAAUAUUAAAGAAGAAAAAAAGAUAAAAAAAUGAGAUUUUUAUAAGAUAAAAAAAAUAACUAAAAUGACCAUUGUCAAAUAUAAAUAGACUAGAGAGUCUUGAACCAAGACUAGAAUACAAGAAAGGUGUUGACAAGACUGAAAAUGCCAUUAAUCUUGCUUCAAUAUAUACUAGGUACAAAAUUUGACUUAUGGAAGCUUUCAAGGAAUUGCAAGGCUUAUAGCAUGAGUGUCUAGUUAUGGAUUUAUUCUAAUGUAACUUCUUAAAAGUAAAAAAACUUAUGGAACAAGUUUUAAAAGUAACGUGGUAUAUCUAAAAAAGUCUAAAUAUUUGGUUUGUCUCUAAGAAACUUCUUUAAAACUUCUUAAAGAAAAUAAUAUAUUUCUAAUACAAUUCUACUUACUUCUACUUACUUCUAUUUAUUUAAAUAAUAUAGGCAUCCAUUAUAAAUACAUAAAUAUGAUAUAGUAUUAUACUAUCAAAUAAAUAAUAAGCAUCAAAGUAUAAAAAACUUAUAAAUUAAGACAACUUUGUUAGAUGGCUAUCAAUCAAAGAAUACAACUUAUAAAACAAAGAAGAGAAAAUUAAUUUAAUAAAUUAACUUAAAGUAUAUGCAUAUAUCUAUUUAAUUCUUCAUUUUCUUUGAUAUUAAGAGGUUUGAAUUACAUAUUGGCAAUAUUAUAAUCAAAUAUUUUAUUAGAUAAUAAAAAUAAGAUUUUUAAAAAUCAUAAAAGGUAAAAAUAGUAAAAAAAUUAAUUUUUAGGUCUUCUUUUUAAUCUUAUAUGAUAAAAAAAUUAUUAUAAAAUAUAUAAAAAAAUAUUUAAUUUUAAGUUUUUUUUUUUUGAAUUUUAUAUAUUAAUGAACAAGAAAAUUAUAAUUUUUUUCAUGAUGUAUAGGAAUUUAUAGAAUAUAGUAUAUAAAUCUAAUAAAUAAAUUUCAUCUUAUAAAUCAUCUAUUAUUACUAUUGUUUCAAUACCAUCAUUUGUUAUAAAUUGCUUGCUCCAGUUCCACAAGAAUAGAAGCUUUACAAUCUCAUUUUAUUUCAAAUAAUCUUUCUUACUAAAAGAAGUUAGUAGAACUUACAAUGCAUAACAACCAAUAAAUCUCAAAUCACCAAAAUUGGUAGAUGAUUCAGAAACUAGAAGGAAGGCCAAUAUUACACAACAUACAAUAAAAAUUUGUAAAAGUAGAAAUGACCUAAAGGACUUCAGAAGAGAAAUGAAUCCCCUGUAGUGAAGCUUAAGGCAUUCCAAGUGUCCCUAAUUAUUAGGCCUCAACUUUGGAAACUAUUUAAGAUGUCGAUAUUUUCUCAACUCUAAUAUCUAGAGCCUCUUUGGUGUCAUCAACAAUCCAGUUGCAAACAACACUUUGAAAGAACCAUCAUAGAAACUCAAAUGUUCCAAACUAAUUAAGGCAAUGAGGUUGUGAAACUCUAAUUUUAUUUGGAACACCUUCCAAAAAUCUUUUCUCACAACAAACAUUUUUAAACCACUCAAAAUAUGCAACUUGGUAAAGAGAAAAAAUUGUAAGGUAAGUAAGUGAAACUAUAACAAUCAACAAGAUAUAGCUCUUCUAUACCAAUCAGCUUUCCAAUAGACUAUAAGAGCAUUAUUUAGAUUUUUUAUCCCAAAAUAUUAUUUCCUUGUUUUGAUAUUAUUGAAAGCAUAUGAAGAAAAAAUUUAAAAUUAUAAGAUAUCUAAUCUAUUUGAAGAAUUUUCUAGUAUUUAAGGAUAAAUACAAUAAAUCCUAAAUAAUAAGUUUAAUUAUAAAUUGAAUAAUAUCACACACUAUUAUACUUUUAUGACUAGGCACAAUUAUUUCUACUAGGAUAGUUUUGAAAUUCAAAAAAAUUAUUAUUAUUUUUGAUAAAAAAAUCAAAUGUUCAAUUUAUUAAUACAAGAUCAAGUGUUUUAGUAGAAAUCUCUUCACAUCACAAUAUGAUUUCUAAAACAUUUGAUUAAUAAAUAAAAUAUUAUUUGAUUAAAUAUUGAUUACUAAUUAAAAUUAUCAAAUGUAUCUAAGAAAAAAAUACUUCUUUUGUAACAAGAUUUUAAUCUUAUAAGUUAUUGCAUGAAUUACAUUGUAUUUUCUAUAUACAAAUAAAAUUUUGUUGAAAACAUAUCUAACUUAUUAAUAUAUAUAUAUAUAUAUAUAUAUAUAUAUAUAUUAUUUCAAAAAUAAUUAAAAAUAAAAUUUAGCAAUUCUACUAAAUAUUGUUACAUAAAAGUUUACUUAAAACCAUAAAUUUAGAUAAUUUAGCACUUGGAAUAUAAUAAAAAAAUUAUACUUGGUUGACAAAUCUUUCAAACUUGUACCAGUUAUUUUGUAAAUAUUUUAAAAAUAUAAUUUAUAGUUCAUUAUUAGAUUAGACUAUAUUUCAAUAUUGAUUUCUAAAACAAAGAAUCUCCAAUAAUAGAAUAGCUUCAAAAAAAGUCAUUCCAUCUCUAUAUUUUUAUGACGAAUUAUUUUUGAUGUUGGUUGCAAUGGAAAAUCAAUCUUACAAUCUAAUAUUUAAAAAUAUUAACAUCCAUAAUAGUAUACAUUUUAAAAUAUUUCUUUUAGAAUAUUAUAAAAUCUUAAAAUUAAAUGAAAGAUAAAAACACACCACUAUUUUCUUUCAUAAAAAUUAACGGUUCUAAAAAAUAUGUGGUAGAAAAAUUAUUUAAUUUAAAGAUGAAUUAUCAUAGAUCAAAACUUAUAAUAUUUGAAGGAAUGUAUUAUUAAUAAAAACAUAUUGAAACAAUAAAAAAAAUUACUUAUAAAUUGUAAUAUAUAUAAGCAUCUAUCCUAAUCAAACUAUCACUAUUGUUAUAUAAUUUUUAUAAUCAAACAAAUAAAAAUAAAAAUUAUUUUACAUCUUAAUUUUAAAAACAUUGUAAAACUAAUUACAAAGUCUUAUUUUUGUAGAAUUACAAUUUAGAGACCACACCAACAUACCAUUAAUUAAGCCAUUUAUUUUGUGAUCUUUAUUGAAUAAAUGCUAUGCUAAAAAAACAGUAAAUUUAUUUUUGAAGGCACUUACAAAGACAUUAAUACAAACAAAAUUCAUAGGUAGUCAUUCCAUCUUGAUAUUGGCUAAUAUUUUUGACUUAGAAUAUCCAUAAAUCAUCUCAAAGAUAAUAAAAAAAUAAAAUAAAAUUAUAAUAAUUAAAAAAAUAUUUAAAUAAUUAAUUCAAAUUCAUAAAUAAAACAUAAGAAUAAGUUUCAAAAUAGUGGUUACAAAAAUAAGAUUCAAAGCUCACAUAUAUUUAUAAAAAAUUUAAUAUAAAUAAAAAUUAAUAUAAAUAAAAAUUACUAUAAAUAAAAAAUUAUAUCUGUUUAAUUUUAAAAUAUCUGUAAAAGAUGUUCAUAUUCAAGUAUAAAAAAUAUUUAAUAUCUUAUAUUUUUAAAGAACGUAAUCUACAACAACCUUUAGGCCAAUAUUUGACAUUAAUGUUUUUAGAUAAAAUUGAAAUUUAGACAUAUUAAUAAUUAAUUUUUUAUUGAUUUAAUUACACUAAAAAAUUAGAUUGAAUUUUUAAAGUAAUUUAAAUUAAAUAAUACUUUGAUAAAUUUCUCCACUUUAUAUUAAAAUUUUUAUUUUUCUAUAUUCUAAAAUAAUUUACUAUUAUUAUUAUUAUUAUUUUGUGGCCAAAUAGUAAUGUUAUUGAACAGCUCAAAUAGUAAAUCAUUAAAUUUGGCAUUUACUUUAACUUGUGAUUAAAUUUCUAAUGCACAAAAGUUCAUAAAAACUUAUUUUUUGAAGUAAUAUAAUUUUUAAAUUAUAUUUGUUGUAUUUUUUGAAAUGAUUUAGUUUAUAAAAAUAAAAGUAUUGAUUGUACUUCUAUAAUACUUGAAUUGAUGAGUUGAAUUGGUUGUACUCUAUAAGAUUAUAUGAAGAAUCCCGUAGGCUUAAUGCACAUCACCAAAAAGUCUCUUAUUCCUUGACUAAAAUACUAAAAUCUUCUUUACUUCAUUUCAACUUUUCUCAAGAGGACUAUAAAAAUUAUAAGUUUGAACUUUUUGAUUAUUAUAAUUCCAAAACUCAAGAUUAACACAAACGAUUGACAUGUAGAAACACAAACAACUUGCUUCACAAAGUGAAAUCAGCUUCCUAUUCUGGUGCUCCAACAAUUGCUAGAAAAUUUGAUCACAUCAUGAACCAUGAAAUAAAUAGACAAAUAUGUCUCCUCACAGAAUUCCACCCCAAGUCAUGAGAAGGAGGCUCAAAUACAUUUCAAUGAGUGCCACUUUGGAAGUCAUCGUCCUACCUGAACACUACAUCUAUAUCAUCACAAUUUCAAUCAAAUGGCAAAAGAAACGUCGGAAGAAGCGUAGGGUGACAUCAAAAGCAUGAAAUAUAUAUAUAUAUAUAUAAAUAUGCAUCUAAAAUGGUUCAUGUGGGGGAGUGGCAAGCAAUGAAAUGUGAAGUCACUUCACUUUAUUCAGCGAAAACCAUAGCCAUAAUCUUGCACGAUUGUUUCAGCACUGGCCAAGCCAAACAAAGACAAGGCAAAUGUUGAACUCACAAGAUGACGAUGAUGCUUUCACUACGUCUUACAGUAAUCUCAGAGCCAACUCUGCUGCGCCAGGAAGGGGCUUCUGUGAGGUCGAUGGACAUGACAAUACCAACUCAUCACACUCCAGCACCAUACAUUCCUCCGGGCUAGCGGUCGAUCAACAUAACUACAGACUUACUAGCAUCUUAUCUACGCUCAUAAACACGAGAUCGCAAACUUCCAACUCGUCUACUACAACUUGUGGUAGCGGUUGCACAGUAGUCUACUAAAGCAAAACACCUUUCAACGCUUCACUCGUCACAAGCCGCUGUCGAGGAAGCUUGCUCGAGGAGGUUGCACAUUUCGAUGUUGUACGACGAGACACGAAGAAGAAGAAGAAGAAGAAGAAGAAGAAACACUCUAAUUAAGUCAGUGUUUUCUGCAGCACACCCACGAACACAUCUGCACUGAACACCGUGCUCCGGGUGUGCCGCAAUUCGAUGCUAUUACCUUACAAGAUGGACGUCUCCGGGCUGCUUACAAGCGCAGCCUCUGCAUGUCCGUUUGAGGGAAAAACUGGGUUAAAUGGUACAAGCGGGUCACCACACACCUCGUGGUGCUCAUCGUACAAGGAAGUCGUUGUUGAUCGCAUCUACAACUUGAGAGGACCUGCGCUUCUGGUGAUGGCGGGUACCAUGUGAGCGGGGCGUGACGAUGUGCUGUAAGCCUUGGCGUAGACGCUGGCGGAGGUGGCCCUGGCUCCGGAGCCCGUGAAAUACGACCCUCCCAGGAAAAUGUCGCCGCUGGAUGCCCAAUUCCAUCUCUGCCAGCCUCCGUAACUGGAUCCGCCGUCGUUGAUGCGUUGGGUUACCUGCAAUUCCAGGAUAAUCAGGUUAGACGACAUGACACACUCUGUGACGGACGGCUCGCAUUGUAAAACAAAGCUGCCGCUAAUCCUCAACUGGCCAAGACAUAGUGGAUACCUCUUUCUUUCCGGCGGGAUUGAAUCGGUUGCCUUGGCUGAGAAUGGUGGGAUCUUCGCUGCCCCCAAUCGCGUACUUCCCCCAUCCGGCUGAGUAGUCAUUGUUCAAAACAUGAAACACGCCGAACCGGCACCUGCGUUCCAAACACACACCAGUUACUCAACUUCCUCAUAUUUACAGGAAAGUGACCAGCGGGGGCAUGUGUGUUUACUAGUAGCAGACACCAUUUCAUCGCCAAUCAACGCGCAGUGUCGUACCUUGGCAACCGUUGGACGAGGCCGGGUCCGAAUUUGUUGAAAGCCACGGUGACCCGCAUGUUCCUGUCCUCGGUAUGGUCGGGGUCCGCUCCAAGCAGCAUCGUCUGCAAUCCAGACGAGUGUGCACACUUUCAGAAACAGGGCGACUAAACCUUCAGGGCACUAACCCCUGCAGGCAAGGUCCUGUCAGGACAUUGCUUCGGAGUGAUUCAUUACCUUGUCAUGCUGUUCCAGGAAGCAGUUGGAAAUUGUGACCAUGGUGGAUCCGCGGGUGACAUCGAUGAGCCCAUCGGUCGCCUUGGCCAAGUAGCAGUGGUCGAUCCACACGUCCCGGGACCCCCAGAUGUGAAGGCCAUCGCCCUCGGAUUUGUUGCGGCGGAUUACUUUAGACGGGGACACUCGAAUGGUGGUUGGUCCCGAUGGUCGAAUGUCGUGAAUGUGCAGGCCGUGCAGGAUGACGUUGUUGGUGCGAAGGAUGCUGAUCUGCGAGCCUCCGACAAUGUGGACUUCGGCGCCACGACCGUCGACGGUCUUGUAGGCGGAGAUGAAGAGCUCUCCUUUCAGUUGGAUGGUCAUACUCUUGGCGAAAAUGAUCCAAAGCGGUCCGUUUCGAGUCACUCCGUAGCGCAGUGUUCCCGGCUGAGGGUUCUUCGCAUCAUCUCCAUUGUUGGUGACGGUGUAGAUGGGUCCAUUCUUGCCGCCGAUGGCAUUUCUUCCGAAUCCGGUGGCGCAAUUGGACAGUGCCUGGCGGUGGCUGCGCCAGUUCGGGUCGCACCUCCAGCAGUCGUCGAUCGGGUUGCCAGUACCGCACCCGCCCAUGGCCUUCGCUAAAGAGGCGAGCAUGUCAUCCGCGUCCGUAGCAUUUAAGUCAGCGGUGGCGAGGCUCAAACCACUGUCACAAAUUCACGCAACGAACAAACCAUGCCCAUCAGAAAACAGAGCGCAAUUGCAGGGCAGCCAUCUGCGAGCACUCAGCAAAACUCUAACAAAUUUCGAGAAGCAGAUCAUGAUUUUGCUCGGUGCGGAGUAAGUCAAUGGUGCAAGGAACUGAAAGUGGACGUACUCGUCGCUGGCCUUGUAAAUGAUGUCCGCAGCAGACGUGUCGUAGAAGACCUCGUCAUUCAUGUAAGCAGCUUUGGAGUGGUACACGUUGUCGUCUGCGAAGCUGGUGGAAGGGGGUUCUCGGACGCUCUCCGGAAAGUCGAUGAAAACGUCGUAGGAUAGCUCGCCUUCGGUCGCGGCGUCAGCGUUAGAUUGUGCCGCUUGAGAAGGUGACGCUACCAGGUCCUCGCUGGCGAAGGUUUCGGCGUCCCAGUUGUUGGCAUCAUAAUUUCCAUUGUUGGAGUUAUAUUCAAACGCAUCGCCUGUCUGCGCGGCGAAGACCGGGGUGUCAGAUUGAGCGUUGGACCCAGUGUUUUGGGGGAAUUCCGGGUACUCUUGGUCGGUGGGAACAUACUCCUGGUUGUCGAAAUCUACCGGCAUUGACCUCGCGUGGGGAGACUUCCACUGCGAUGCAAGCACUAUAAGCACCGUCAGCAAACUCGCCACCCGCCCGGACACCAUUCUUGUGGUCGAUUUUGAAGAAGGCUCGUCUUGGAUCCUUUGCUGGCACUACUGGGAACCUGAAGUCUAAACAAGCACAACUUCUCUGUAAGUUGAAAGUCUUUUGAAAUGCCUUUGCGCAGCAACCAACAAUCCCAAUAGGAUCCGCAACUCAUAAUUCACAACGCAACGAAGAGUUGGAAGAAUCACCCCAUCACAUUCUGGUGAGGAGAGAUAGCGAAGUAUGCAUCAUGUCCGUGGACAUAAGCAGGAUUAGAGCCUACUCACGUGGUGAACAAGCCGAUGGAAGUAGCACACUUCCUAUUAACGCCCGCGAAGCUUCACUUGGAACUUCGAUGCAAUCCUUGGUCAGUGUUUGCAUCUGCUUGCAGAAUGAGUGCGUUUUGCAGCUCAAUCUCGAUUCAUGGGGAUGCAGCACCACGCCUUUCUGAGGUUCUAGCUGGUUUGAAGCCCGGAGAUCAUCACAUCCAGCUCCACCUUGAGUCAAGCUUGGUGCAUGUCGAGAGUGAGAUGGCCAUGUAGCCCACCUUCAGAGCUUAAGUGGUGCGAGACGCCAUGUUGCUUCAAGCCAUGAACGUGCGUAGAGACCCCUACGGCGUAAAUCUCUGAAAUUAAUUCCGUAGCGCGGAGGAUGAUUGCAAGUCACCGCAACUUCUUUCCGGCUAAUUCAUCUGCUCCAGCAUCCGAUGCCAGAGUAACACUGUUUCGAUUGCCAUUUACAUGUGUAAUUUGUGCUGCACCAUCGCUCUGUUGCCGUGCUCUGCGAUUAACUCGAACUGUUUGUCGUGCAAGUUGAGUAACCAAGAUUCGCAUUGCUAAAUACCGGCCUCCUGAGAGGAUUGUGGCAGAAAUGCGAAAUAAGUGGGUCAAAGUGGCAAUCUAAAAAUAGGAAGACUCCGGACUCGGCGGGCAUGCGCAGGGUGACGUCGGGGCUGGACCUUGGCCCAAGCAUGUCGGCAGACUUUCUGACAAUGUGACUCAGAGUGCACUAGCCCAGAUCUCCAGUCCGCCCAGUUUCAACCCGUGUGCAUACUUUUGCUUACCAGUCGCCUCGGACGAAACCGGUGAAGCAUUUCUAUUCAGGAAAAAACGCUCUCGCUCUCGGACGGAUCAACCUUCCAGGUGCUAGUACAAAAGCCCUGACAGAAUGUGAUCAAAGGUACGCCCACACGGAUCACUGCCAUUAAUCAAACUCGGGCGCGCACGCGAUCCAGGGGACGAAAGCGUCAGAUUCUCUCGAGAGACCAAAAGUGUACAUUUCGUCGACUUCAGAACUAGGAUUUACGCAUGGUUCCUUCAAGUUCAAUCUGCCUUGAAAGACAUCGAAUGUCGAAUCCUAGACACAUCGGGCGCUGCAAAUGGCGAUUCUGGAGGGAGUUUUCGCACUACCCUGUGGAGAAUGGUAUUGCUGGAAUACGAAAGCGGGCUACGGCUUCCACAUGCAACCGGGUCUGCGCACAAAUUCAGGGCACGUCUGUGAAGAAAUCGAGGGACGAGGCGCUGGUUCCAGUCCGAAGUUUGUGCGGCCGCGGCUGCUAAAUUCACGGGUGGCUGUCGUUUAUCGGCCUUUCGCAGCCGAUGACAUUCCUCGGAAGUGAUGUGCCUUUUAAAGCACCGACUCGGUUCAUAAAGUUGUCAUACUCCUUUACUUUUUGGAUUGGAGAUGCUGGGAAUCGACUUUUUCCCAGAAUCAUUGUUAACUAAUACUUUUUCUUUAUAUAUAUAUAUAUAUAUAUACAAGUGAAAACCAGUGCAGUUGGCCACCAAACAUUUAUUGCAUCUGGCUGGUGGUGUCUUUGUAGUGAAAAUAGGCAUAGGUGCUGGAAUCAUUAAUUUAUGCAGCAAAUUGAACCAGUGGAAGAACUUCCAAUGUCCAAAACCACCACACAAAUCAGUUUUUCACUAGCAGUUCACAAUUCCUUGAGAAAAGACAAAGGCAAGAAAUUAAAGACCUCACGGAAUCCACCACAGCCAUAGAAGCAAUGCUGCUUUAUUCAACCUCACUUGGGAGUUUCCGAGCUCCAUGUCUAGUAAUCUUGAAAUGCUACUUUCAAUAAUUUACAGCAACAUCAUGCAGUGAUAAGUGAUUGAUCAAAAGUUGAUUUAUUGUUUCACUUUUGCUUCUAUUUUGAUAAAAACAAUGGAAUAAGUAUCCAAUUAGAGAUGGUUUUGUCUCCUUUGGUUUAUCCCCAAGUUGUUUUUAUAUCAGAUAUAUAUUAGUAUGUUUGACUAUUUUUAUCUUAUUAUUGACAAAGUGUGCAAGGUUCUAUUGAGCAUGGUAAUGAUUUUAUAACUGGGAUUUGAUUAGUUCGCCUUUUUUAUAUUAUUAUUCAUGAUUUUUUACAAUGUUUUGUUUUGGUUUUUGCAAUUUGGAAUCAUUUUAAAGCAAUUUGCGUGUCUUUGAGAAUAAACUCUAAAAUCUUAAGUUGUACCUUAUGAUUGCUUAAACUUGAUCAAUAAUUUCUAUAUACAGAAAAAUAGUUAAUCAAUUGAUGUAUAAUAAGUCUAACUAACUCAAAUUUUAGAGUCAUGUAUGUAAUUGAUGGUAAGUUUUGCAAGUAUUUUUGGACGACUUCAUUCAAUAGUAACUGGAGAGUUUUUGUUAUGUAAUGAAACUACUUGUAUCAAUGCACUUGUACAUGUCCUUAUGUCUCAUGACAUGCACAAAAUUAUAUUAUUUACACUUAAAAUCAUUGUUUAAGACACGUUUUUUUGUCCACACAUUAGCAUGAUUAUUGAACGAAGUUAAAAAUACAAGCACAUCAAAUCUGGAUCCUUCUCUUAUUUUAAUUUGUAAUAAUUUUAAAUUUAUAAACAUGAUAUUUUGUGCAAUAUGAAAUAUAAAACAAAAAUAAAAAGAUUACAAAAGAAACUUGUCACUUUGAUUUUAAAAAUACUCUGCUUCUAUGUAUCAACCCUUAAUAACCCGCAUGUAUUUGUAUAAUGAAGUCCAACAUGAUUGCAAAACAAUAAAGUAAGUAUUGCAUAAGAUAAUUUCUAAAAUAAAUUACUACACUAUGAUGAUAAAUCAUCACCAUGGUAUGUACAUUUGUAAGCCAAUAUAAUAAAUGGUGCAUCUUCAAAGUCUAUCAUCCAAGAACAAUCAAUUAAUAUUUUCAGUAUAUAUAUAUAUAUAUAUAUAUAUAUUUACAUAUAAGAAAUUGUUAAAUUGGCCCAGACAUUUACUAAAUCAACCCAUCCAUCAUCAUUGAUUGAGGAUCCAACCAUUUUUUCAUUGCCUAUUUAGAAUUUUUUGAUGAUGAUUAGGAUGAGUGGAUAAAUUUAGUAAAUACUUGGGUCAAUUUAACAAUCUUUUUUUAUAUACAUUUUACUUUAUGUCCAAUUAAUAUCAUUUUUCUUUACAAGUAAGAAUGCAAUUAUCACACAAUCUGUAAAUAAGACAACACUUCCAAUACCAAGUGGUUUUGCAACACUCACUCAAGAUGGUCCAUUACAGUAUGUAUGAAAAGGAUACACUGCCACAACCACUUGACAUUAAGAAAGGGCUUGAUCAGCGUCUUUUCUAAUUUUGGAAAAAUGUGAUAUUCGCAUGAUGAGAUGAAAUGCAAAUUCUUUCAGCUUAACUUCUUUUGCCACAUCCUCUGUUGACUGGUUGUGGGCUCAUCUGGUCAUUCGUUAGCAUGUUGAUAAGGCCAAGUUUCUCCCAGUGAUAUAUCUCGACAAUCUGGCCACUACUGUAGUCUCAUUAUUGAAAAGAAUUAAGAUAAUGAAUAUUCCUUCAGUGAAUUCAAACAUAAGUGUAUGUGGAGUUGUGCAUUUAUCUCAUCAUCACGAUGACAAGAGAUGCGAUCUCGAAAGGAUAGAAUAAGUUAGGCUAGAGUGUGGAACUUUGGGCAACUCCUGUAACGCAUACAUUUCUGAAGGCUUUACACGGCAUGAAGUGUUUAAACCCUUGGACGACCAUAUGGUUGAACGAUAGUAGUCAAUUCGCAGCAUGAGUUUGGUGAACUCAAGAAUCUGCAUUUACGUUCGGGAUUGAACACCAAGAAAACGACAACAGCCAUAUAAGUUAUGACAAACAGCGACGAAAGUUUCUUCGUACAUGCUGGACACGGAAGGAAACCAGAAUCCAAGUAAGCUCAAAAUGUUGAUGAAUGAACUCAUCGGUUUAUUUACAGUACGGGGACAAGAUCCAAAAACUCCAGAAAGUUAAUUCCCAGGUUAAGCUGCGCCCCUUCUUAGAGAAAACCCAAGACUCAACCAUCAAUUUUCCGCAAGAUAUCCAGAGCCAGCAAAUUGCUGGCUACUGGAUCCAAAUUUAAGUGGUGCUCGGAAGCUACGAACUUAACUGGCUCAUCUUUCGGAACUGCUCUCUUAUAUACAAAAGCUUCAGCACCUCCACGUAGCAAUAAUUUACUGAGAUUGGGUAGGCUGUCCUAGUUGUGGUUGUUGACCAGGUCGAGGCGUGUUUGACCCUCUCAACGGUAAUACAGGAGCUCGGGCAGCUGCUGCCGCUGCACGAGAAGCAUUCUGAAGCUCAAUUGACGAUGAGCUUGCACUGCCGUUCCCCGACGGUCCUAAACUUUGGCCACUACUAAGUUGAGGGCUGGACGGGUUUCCAACCAGUGAAUUGAGGCUGCCACCCCCACUCAACUGUUGUUGUGGAUUCAACUGCUGUGCGUUCAGUUGUUGAGGGUUGAGCUGCUGUUGUUGCAGCUGCUGCUGCUGUGAAUUGAGCAGUUGUUGCUGUUGCUGCUGUGAGUUGAGCAGUUGUUGCUGUUGUUGUUGUUGUUGUUGCUGCGGUGAGUUGAGCAGUUGCUGCUGCUGUUGUUGUUGUUGCUGCUGUGAGUUGAGCAGUUGUUGCUGUUGUUGUUGCAGUUGUUGCUGUUGUUGUUGUUGUUGUUGUUGUUGUUGCUGCUGCUGUUGCAGCUGUGGAUUCAAUUGCUGAGCGUUCAACUGCUGUGCCUUAAGUUGUUGCUGCUGCGACGAAUUCAAGUAAUAAUUCUGGCUUGAGGAGGGAAUCUUCGGUGAGGCAAGCCCCGUCACUGAAUUUCGUUGCAAUGCAGCAAGAUUGUUCCCCCGAAUCAUGCCCUGUACCAUUCCUGAAACACCAGAGCCUCCGUGCACCUGGUUUGUACCUCCGAGAGCUGAGAGUGCAUCCACCUGAGAUCGCACUCCACCAGUGUUCGCGAGCACACUUGUGCCUGUCCGUGCCCUCCCAACCGCUAGUUGUUGCACUUUCGAGGCUUGCUGUAAUGCAGCAGCCUGGUUUAUAGUUCCAAGUCCGGGUCUAAGUAAAUUUGCUUGUUGUCCCAUGGCAUUCAUAGCACCCAAUUGACCCAUAUUUCCUAGACUCGACAUUCCAAGGGAUGGCAUUCCAGACAUAGACGUCAGUGUACUUAUUCCACCAAUAGCAACAUUAUUCAUUCCCGCAAGGUUAUGCAUGUUGGCCAAACUUGCUUGAUUACCAGUAUUUGCUGGCAUUCCUACUGAAUUCAUAUUACUCAUGCCCGGCAGCGUGUUCCCCAUAGUUCCUGAUAACAUGACUUUCCGCUGAUUAAGGAGAUGCUGAUGCCUUGCCUGUUGUUGUUGCUGCUGCUGUUGUAUAUACUGCAGCUGUUGCAGCUGAUUAGACUGGGCCACCAGAUGAGGGGAAGCCAAAUUAUGCCCCUGGCCACGUCCAACCACGGCAGAAGCAACUCAGAUCUCCAUCUUGAACUAAAUUACAAGGACGAUCCUGAACAUGAAAAGAGCACAAUAAGAAUUGAUGGAUGCAGUCCUACCUGACCCGUCAGUUGGGCUAUCUGUGAGGCAGCCACCAUCUGCUGUUGGUGAUGUUGUUGGAGAUGUUGCUGCUGCUGCGUUUGCCGCUGCAUCGGUACUUGCUGCUGCAUCUGGUGAUGUUGCUGUUGUUGAGCUGCUAUCUGAGAUGCUUGGGCAGGGUCAAUCUGAGAAGGCUUUACAUUCGAAGCAAUACCUUGUUGACCCAAAUGGUUGUUCAUGAUCUGUUGCCGACUCGGGGCAUUCGACGGAGGCGGCAUCCGGUUAGCAGCCAAUUGGCUAGGGGAUGAAAGCUGCAUUGGAUUAUGAGUAGGCAUUACAUUCCCUGGUAUAGCACCUUGCAUCAACUGCGGACUCAUUACAGCUCUUUGAGUAGUUGCAAGAUGACCAACUUGGGGGUUGCCCAAGGUAGAGGCACCUGCAGGCAUGCGACGAGCACUCGAGGCUGCAUUCACUACUGAAUUACGAGGCGCACUUUGUUGAACUUCGUCAGAAACUAGCUCAUAAUUCUCCUUUUUCAGCUGCCAUAAACGGCAUAACAAUAUACGAAGCAUCAGACAGGCGUGAUAUGAUGAAUUUGGAGACCAUACAACAAAUAGUUUAUUCAUAGGAUGAAAUAAUUACAAAGCACACGCAUUUAUGUAACUCGAACCAAAACAAAAUGUAAUAGAUGUAACAUUCUCCGAAAAACAUUUCUCGGGACAGAUGAGAAGUAUCGGUUUACCAAAGCACAGUACUGUUUUGCAAAUCGGUCAGCCACAUGCUGCAUAAAGAACGAACAACAGGCAAUGACAUCAGUAUGUAACAUAUCAAAUAGAUAACCUUAUCAAUCUUUUAUUGAAUUAGUCAUGUACAAAAUAUUCUAUUUUCUAAAAUCUAAGGACGCCAGAAGCAAUCAGAACGAUGUUCUUGAGAAAACAUACUUCGAAACAUACUACAUGUCCACUAUGUGCACACUUUGCAAUACCUCACAAUCCGCAUAUCUAACCAAUAUCCUGGACCUGCCCUGAAAGAUUUCAUUUACUUUCGAAGCCUCACCCCACAGAAGCUUGGGAAGAAACUGAUAAAUCGAACUCUGUCCACGUACGUAAUAUCUGACACUAUAACCUCCAUGUAUAUUACUCAUCACCACUGCAAAGCAAGCACUUUAAAGCAUUCCUACUAAGAGAUUCGACUGUUGAAAUCUAGAUAAUUCAACAUGCACACAUGGACAUUCUCAGAGUGAAAUAAUACAAUCGUUAGAAACCAGUACACUUGUAAAGACUAAUACUUACAACAUUAGGCAUGGUAGGCAAGACAUGGUGAGGAGGUUCAGCUUCUUCUUCUUGAUCAUCUCCAACUUGGAUAAUAGCCUCCACCAGGCUAUCUUUUGCUCGACCGCACAAUACAAGACGUUUUCGUGAUCGAUGAAAAGUAGGUUGAUAGUUCAUUGCUCCUGUUACCACUCUCUCUUAUCAGUAUCAUCUUCGAAAUGAUAGUCAUUAUAAAGUCCGAGAAGGCCCUAAAAAUUUAAACAAAACAAGUUCAUGCAAGUAGAAGUGUUGCUGCAACUACAUGUACAUCCACUAGAUCCAAUUUCACCAAUCAAAACAAAAUCAAGUGCCGACUCUCUUUACGACCUGCAUGUCAAAACGACAUAACAAGUACACAUACUUGCCUGGAUAUGGUUGGUCAAGCUUUGGCUCAGUUUUCACAAAAAGCAGGGAGCGGGUCUUGCGAGAGUUUACGUUUCCACCCGCAAGAGAAUUGGCCAUGCUUCGCUGACCAAUAGGCACUUUGACCUCACUAUCAGUCUCAGACAAGGCCACUGACAACAAUUGGAAAGACGGGGGAUUCUUGUUUGGAAGUACAAAAUUUACGGCUGGUUUCUUUCUGUUGUGCAAUCCAUGUCUAGAGAAAACAACAUGAUAAAUAUUCUCAGUAGCUAAUCAAUAAGGCAUAAAUGAAGGAAGCAAGAAAAGAAAAGAAGUUACGUCACAUUUCAAGUGAACCAAACCCACAGAUGAAAAAAAUUCGAAUAUUGAGGAUAAGAAGAGAAACGGUUCCGAAAAGUGAAUAGCAAACAGGGUAUGUUUACGUGUCAACAUGAUUACAAAGACGUACCGCUGGAUGGCAGCAACUAAUUUAUGUAUUGUCUCCAUCUCUUUAUUCUGUCCCUGAACUUCUGAACCACCACUUGACGUAACUCUCUGCCCACCAGUUGCUGGUUCCAUCUUCACACCUGGUGCCGAAAGAGCCCCAUUCCCAAGGGGUAGAGAAGAACCAUUCACCCCAGGAUUUGGAGUUGCAUUUGUGGGAGUUUUCGGCAAUGAGUUUUGUCUCUGUCGAGAUUGCUCCAAAGAGUGUUGCAUCUGAAAUAACACAUACAAUGUGUAAACUACGCAUAUUGAAGACGUCCACAACCAAUUUGCCAAAAGGGAGUUCUUUCUACUACAAUCUUCUUUCGUUUCUUUAUCCUGCCAGAGCGAUCACACUUGAAUCGAUCAACAGGUGCAUGUAUCAGUUUGUACUCACUACUAUUAGAAGUGGACACUACAAAAAAAACUAAUAAAUCAAAUGCAGCAGCAGAAACUGUGGCUGCCACUUGUAACAACCAGAAUGCAUUCAUGUUUUGGACUGUCCAAAGAAGCAAUCCACGCUCCAUAUAGGGAGCGACACAUUUCACUUUAAUCAAGACUUAAGGAGACUUCCCAUGAUUCUCUCAAGACCGAAACCAGCCAUGUGGCGAUUCCGAGGGCAUAGUAGAGAUAGGUCAGUAGAUCAUAACGAAAUAACCAUACUUCAGCAAUAAUACGCUCCUAAUCGAUAAAAAAUGGAAAUGCAUUGCGACCUAGGAAUAAACAAGUUGAAAAUCAUUACCUGACUCAUAUGACUUGGACCGACGCCAGAAACAAGGUUUGAACCCAAUACAUGCGCUUGUGCCUGCACCAGACCACCGACGGGAGACACCAAGUUGUGGUUGGACCCCAUGCGUAACUCUGAAACCCCAACACCUGAACUGAAAAUCACUCCUGGAAUUGGCAAAGGAUUCUGCGGCAGCAGAGGGUUCAUUGGUUGCUGCACCAUCCCCAAGUGUUCUAUGUGUUGACCUGAUCGAAGUCCUUCAUGUUGAACCAAAUCCUCAUUUAAGUGACUUUUUAUUACAAACUUAACAUCCAACUUGACAUAAAUGGGCAGCCACAAAAAGCAAGUACCAUUUCAUGAGGUUUCGAGGAAAUGGUCGGGUACAAGGAAAGUAUUCAGCUCCUAGACCAUAAGCUAGAAGUGAUGGUUCCAAAUUUGAAGUACCUUGAUGUUUCCCUGCAUCCGCCAGUUGCUGCUCUUGUCGUCCUUUCUCAGCAUCAUCAAGACUUUGUGAAUCAAAUUCUUGUUUGGGCCUUGAAACCUCCUGUUAACAGAGCCAAAAAGAAUGAUUACAAAUCCAAGAGAAGGACAAACUGAUACAGGUUUUGAAUCAUACCUCAACCCAAAAAGUUUAUCAACAUAAUACACUCACUGUUGAAACAAAAAUCUCAUAGUAAUUUUACGGGAAUCUCGUAGCUGUCAAGAAUAAUAGUUCCAAAAUUGAUUGCCCACAUACAAAAUAAUAAAAAAUAAAAUACAAGUUAUUGAGACGCUGCACAAUUUGCCUAUAAAAUACCAAAUAGCACGGUACUUACUACCAAUGUCAUCACUGCACUUCCUCUACCAAAGCACAGCAGAAUCUCACAUUUGUUGUACAUCCUGACAUUAGUUUAUAAAGACAAAGUUUGAGUGCAAAGGGUAAAACUUACUUGUGGUUCCAUCUUGAUCACUACGUCAACCCCUUCUCUCUGAUCUCCCAUAGAUCUGUUCUCAGAACGAGGAGUUGUAGAACCGUCCCCCAUAGAGAUGGAGCCUGAGUGCUGAGACAACAGCGACAAAUGACUGCUACUUCGAAAAAGCUGCUGCUUCUCCAAUUUGAGUUGCUGCUGCUGCUGUAGUUUUUCCUUGAGUUGUCUUCCCUUUUGAUCUUUUGCAUCCUGUUUAUCCAGAGCUUUCCGUUGCAGUAACUGCUGUUUUUCCUGUAAUGCCUGGACGCGUUCCAAAGCUGCAGAUCAGAAAUAUGUCAUCGGAGUACCAAUACCUUUACGUUCAUGUAAAAAUUUCUCAUCUGAUUAAACAAUAUAAACUACUUGCAAAACCUCUUACAACAGCAUGAAAGAUGGUUUUUUUUUUUGCGUAAACCUCACAAUAAUCUUAUCGCACUGGGGACUUUCACAAGGCGAGAAAAAGCCAAAGGUCACAAUGUUCAACCUGCUUGGCCUUCAAUUGCUUUGCCUCAGCCCGAGCUGCAGCUGCUGAUUCUUUGCUUUCCCUCCUUCCGAGCAUAGUUGAUACGCCUCCCGAGCCGCUUGUUACUUCGUGUCCUCCAGCAGAUGUUGCAGGAGACAGAGGACCCGAAGGAACCGAAAGUGCAGAUAUUGAAUGUGCCAGCCCUCCUGCACGACCCACUGACGUUUGCUGUCCCAGGGAACCUAGUGAAGCACUUGACUGCGGCAUAUACACACCAGGUAUUGCUUGAGACAAUUUCGAAGCCUCUUGUAACCGAUACCUUCCACCUGCAAGAGGGCAUAUAAACUAUAAACUUAGACCAAAUGAAGAAUGCGCAUCAAAUACUGGACAAAAAAUUACUCGGAGAGAGAGAGAGAGAGAGAGAGAGAGAGAGAGAGAGAGAGAGAGAGAGAGAAUAAAAGCAAGACACCUGACAUACCUGGUGAUACAGCAGAAACCUGUUUCCUAAGAAGCGGUGGACCACCUCCAAACCCUCCAUCAAUAUUUGUCUUCCGGUGCUUAGCAAAGCCAUCAGCUCUUGACAAAGCUUUGGCGGCGGCAGCAAUAUGCAGCCUGCGCUCUCGCAGAGAACUAGAGGUCUUUCGAUACCUCCCGUAAAUUGAGCAACCUAUGUUAUAUUUUAACUGCAAUAGAAGGGCAAAUUUUACAGAAGAUUACAUCAUGUCCGAAUUUCUUAAAAAAAAUUAAGAUCCAAUUUAGUGAGUAUGCAUACAAGAUAAUGCCAUAGCCUCGAUACAAUAGAAGAACGAUCAAAAUUCAAACAUCAUGCUCAGAAUUCAAAUGGGAAAAGUGGUGACAGAUCGAUAAUCAAACCUUAUUGUAAUUAGUUAUGUAAGCUUCUUUUGCAACUUCUGGUGUUGGGUCCAAGCAGAGUGGAGGUUGCACAGCAUUUAUUAGUCUAGCUUCCAACUCCUGUAACAUUUAAUACCACAGCUCCAAGUUAGAAACAUGUAGAUCAAGAUUCGCUCCUACAUCCUGAUGAUAAAGUGGCGUGCUCGAGCUUACAAAGCAGACCAAAUAAUCUAGCUUCUUUCCAAAAUAAGAGAUCACAAUGUAGGAAAAAGACCCACCAGACACUCUUGGUAGGUCCAACCAUCAAAAUCCAUGCAUUUAAGGUCCUUGAAAAUAUUUCCACUAUUUCGUUGCAGCACCACACGCUGCACAGUCGGAAUAAGACUCCCUUCUCUUCCAUGGCGAGGCAGUGACUGGAUUCUUUCCCCAGAUAGUGUCUGAAGACCAUCUCUGUAAUCACGAAGCUGGUACAAAAAAUGCACCAGCAAUGUUCUAAAUUUGUUCUUUUCCCCACAUCAUCAAAAUAGUUCAACAAAGCAACACUUCGUGACCGCUGCAAGAAACUUGGGACUUAAUUAUGUUCUUGACAUAAUGACCAAAUAAACAGGUGCAAAAGUAGAGAAUUAGACAUCAAGUGCAAUUAGAAAGAAUCAAACUGGAGAAGUCGAUCCAACUAAAAGACCAACCUCGCAAAUAGCACAACCAUCAAAGUACUUGCAGGGUAUGUCCUCAAGCAAGAUACUAGGCAUCCAUCCACCGUCAAUGGCCUAUUCCGAUGCAACACAACGCAACACAACAAUCUUAGUGAACAUAUCACACGUCAAGCAACAGGAUUAAGAUGUAUUAAAACAGGAUAAAUAGCCUAGAUGUUUCUCAUUAAUCACGAACUCACAUUCAUCAUGUAAGACUGUUCUGCACUGAACCAACUUCCUCUGAAAAUAACAGGGAACGAUGGGUAAAAAUUGUACCCUUAAGAAAUCAUCAGUAUUACGGUCAUAAGGUAAUAAGUGUAAUUCUGCCACUUCACAAGCGGGAGGUGGCAAUUUACCCUUCUGUCAAGAAUGUUUCAACAGCGUGAGAUCGUAAGAUAAGCGUUCAAAGAAUCACUGUAAUCUGACAGAAGAUGAGGCUUUACUUCUCCUAACAUUAUUCAGAAAAGCAACGCCUCAUGUGAAAUGUACACAAGACAACGUACCACCGUAGGUUCAUCAAUAGAAAAACCAUCAGGAAACAGAUUGAUUGCAAAUGAAGCCUCGGCAUCUGCACAGAGACAUAAGAAAGAGAUGACUACUAGCAAAUCGAAUCAAGCAUCAUAGAAAGCCCAACUCAUAGACUGAUCAAUGGAUAUCCUAAAACCGUGUGAGAAAGCAGAAUUAAUAGGAAGGUGGUCAAGAUUUAUGAAACUGGAACAUUGCAGCUAGUAAUUAGACUACCAAGCUGAUUCAAAAGAAGCUUGCGCUUACCCUUCGGUACAUUUCGCCCCAGAGAAUCAAUAUGUUUCGUCUGCAAAUCUCCACAAGAACCGCGCGGAGCAAUCUACAAUUCAGUAGACUAGAGUAAGUAAUUCAAUACGCUUCAAUCCUUUAAAAGCACCAAGAUCGAGAAACUUAGAAAAAAAACGUUCAUACGAAGAGACAGCGCACUCGAGAGAAUCAACUAAGCCAAGAAAGCCUUCGUAGGCACAACUGAAGAAGGAGAAUGAUGGUAACUUCAUAAAAUAUUAGUGCCCCUGACGUUCCUAAACAUGUUUAUGCGAAACAGCCGAGAACCACAAAUUUAUGACAUACCUCCCCACGGCUUUUCUUCGCGGAAAGACUCUUCACGCCCUCAAAUCCUUCGGGCAACGGCCGUUUCCGGUUAAGCGUCCCCUCCUGGUGAUUGACUUCAUUAAUGUGAGCGCCAUUCUCUUCAGCAGCUGCUUCGUGAUUCUGAAGCUUCACGUUGGAAGAGACCUUUGGAACAUACCGAGUGCCGAUCUUUGAUAUUUUGAAGGAUAUUCCCACCAUGACUACCUAGACUUUUGCCAACUCCUCAGCUGAGAACAGUGAAGAGCUGGUACUUCAGUUUCUCCCAAACACAGAUUUAAAUUACCCGAAGAGAAAAGAGAUUUAUAAUUGUAAGACAAGCCCACUCCGACAAUACAGCAGGAGCAAUUCAGACUGACCGGUAUGAGGUGCAGAUUCCUAAAUCCAUGCAGGAAUGCAGCCCAAUUCCGCUUAAGGACAGAUCACUGUGAGUAAUACAUGCACCGACAUCAAGGCGAUAUUACGAACUGGCAAAUUUUAUAAAUAUAAUCCGCAUGUGCUCGUUGUAGAAACAAAGUGUCACCACUCUAUGGGCAGGUGGUUUCGACGAGUGUCGCUAGCAAAAGGAUAAAGAUCUCUGAGCAAGCUUGGAACAUUGCCAAACGAAAGAUUACGAUCUGAUGAGGCUCGUGCGGGAGCACAAGAAGCCAAAUAAAAUGCUUUACGAUCGGUGCGUUGUAGAUUCUAUGCUCGCGAAAGACCGUGUAAUUAGCGACUUCUCGCCCUAAAAUUAUAAUUGAGGACACUCCUGUGUGCUUCAGCGCAAAUUUUUUAGCCUCAAGCGUAAGAGUAUGCCGUGUACCAAUUCUAUAGGAUUCAAUUUGAUCAGGUUGAAUGUCUAAAGUGAUGUUAUGAUCCCUGAGUUAGUCACUGCGCAAUUUAAACGCAGAAGUACGAUCACAAGAACGGAAAAAAAUAGAGGAGCAACGAGAGGGCCGGGGCGCCUGAAGUCUUACAUUGAAAUUGAAAAUACGACAGGAGCCGACCAGUAAAUAGUUCUGAUUUGCUCGCCAUUCCUCGGGUCCAUGUUCUUCACACACUAACGCGGAUUGCAGCAUUCACUUCAGCAGUUCACUUCUAUUCCAAUGCACUCCCGCUGAAACCCUGACGACGAAGUUAAUCCCCAAUCCUCAUCCCAGCUGCACAGGUCCUCACCCUCACCCUUCGCAUCACCAGAGAAAACCCUAAGAAAGGGAGACACAGCAACAAGAGCCCUUCCAAGCAAAGAAGCACCGACGCGACGCGAAUCUUUGCCAAGAGAUAUAUCUCAAUAAUCCUGCAGGUCACCUAACAUGACACAGUGUGCAGCUCCAUGGGAAGCUGACAGAGGCGCCAAGCCAAGCCGAUCGCCUACAGACAAGAAGCAAGACAAGAGGAGUGGCGAUACCAGGUGUAGCAUCACCGAAGCUCCGAAGCUUGUCUGCGAGGCUGCAUAGCUGAGGCUGGUCUGCGACGCAACUUGUCCUCGACUCCAUUCCAAGUUGCGACGUUACAACCCAGUCUCCCAUGUCGAUGCUUGGCUUCCUCCGUUUCAACGACUUUUCUUCGCGGUGUGAAGGGGGCCUCGAUCACUACCAGUUUCUUGUAACGAAUGAAUGAGAAUGAGUGGAGAUGAAUUUGAAUGAAUUAACAUUUUCAUCCUUUUUUGAAUAGUCUCGGGUGGUUCAACGUUGUCUGCUGCUGUUCGGGAGCUUCAAGUACAAAUUUCAGCAUGUUGAAGGUCGACUCCGUGUUCAAUUGUGGUCCUUCAUUUUUUGGGUAUAUGCAGUUCCGGGGUUAACUUGAAUGCUCUUUGUGCCCAGUUUCUCAAAACGGCUUUACUCUGAAUUUGCAUCCUGGGUUGAGCAGGCAUUGUAGUCUGGGGGUUUAGGGUUCCGCUUUGGUUGGUUCGACGGUUGAGGAAAGAGCGGAAGCUCCUGUGAAUCCGUUCUCUGAAUCUGCAUUCUGUUCUAUCCUGCUCCAUUGACCCUGUUUUUGCAUCCAGCAGUCAUGUCCUCCAAGCGGAAACACUCUAGUUCUCACUCUUCACGCGAUCCUUCUACCCCCAAACGUUCUCAGGCACCCGCUUCUCCCCAGUCUCGCCACCUUCCUCUUCUCCAGCUGGAAAGCGAGAUCGCGGAUCUCGGUGCGAAGGUGUCAGCCUACAGGGAGAAGGGGUUGAGCUUUUUCGCUGCCCUCAGCGAAGCACGCGUAAGGAAGAACCAAGGUUAGGCUUUCCGCUUGUUCCUACAAAUGCGGUUGAUGUUUUACGUAUCUUCCUCUGUCGAUUCCAAUAUUCAUAUCAUGUACGAAAUCUCCUAAAUGUCAUCCAGAGUAUUUUUAUGCUCAGAGUAGAGAGUGACUACUCGCUAUAAUUCUGAGGUGUUAAUUGAUAUUUUUAAACAAUAAUGAAUUGCUUACAUUCUACAAACUUCAGUUAAAUUGAUGCAUCCAUGUUGCAUCUUUAUAGAUUCUUGAUAAGCCUCAUAUCAUUCACUCUCUGAUGCCAUUGUCAUUGUAAUCGGUUUAUAGAAGCUGGUUGGGCGUUCGCUGCAGUUGCGUCUUACAUUCAAUCAUUGCUAUAUAUGUCUACCAAUGCAGAUAUGAUUCAAUCGCAGAACUUCAAUAUUUUAGAAUUUCAUUCAGUAUGAGUAUUUCAUUUGUUGAUUGAGUGAUUGGCGUAACAUGUGCAUCUGUGUACAGAGGAAACAGCAUGCCCAGCACCCACGAAACCCAGAAGUGUACAUGAAGACCAGAGGCAGGCUUUGAAGGAGAGGCUAGCUUUGGCCAAUAAAAUGUUGCCUACAUUGUUGAAAGACCUUGCUAUGUGGAAUACCAAGAUCCAACAGGCUGUGGACGUGAAGCGGAAAGACCAACGAUUGCCUUUCCUGGAUAGCGUUGAUGCCGAAACGUAGCUGCUUCGUGAUAUCUUCCAGGAGCUUCCUGUCCAGGUCAAGAUAUUGUACAUUCCUCAUCAUUAAGACUUCUGCCUGAUAGUAUUUGUACCAGACCAUGGAAUAAGGAGCCUGAAAUUCUCUGCAAUUGGAAUGUUGACUACAAGGACCAGGACCUUUGCAUCCGUCUGAGAAAAAUGUAGCAUACCGAGUUGACAAACUAAUUAGGAUAAAGCGUUCUAAGUGAUAGCUAGCGGUGAUGUCUGCUGUAAAUAUUUUAAUUUUCAUGUUCCUGUAAGACACGUAGUGGCCCUGCAUUAGUGCCUGGAGGUUCUCAGCCUGAUUCUGGUUUUAAAGUCCCACUAUACGAACUCUUGAUUCAUGGUUUUAGAAAUCUUCCCGUGUUCUCACUUUUAUAUAUACAUGCUGACACGAAGAUUGUUUAUGAGAGUUCAAGCAGAGAUGUGGAUUUGACAAAGGUUUUGUCGUUCGAGAAAGUAUGCAAUAUCAUUCGCUUUCUGGAGUUCAUUCAUUCGAUAGGUCAGGCAAUUUUCGCUGGUAUCCAAUUCUGCAUUGUCCUUAACUUGUUACAUGAGCAGGCAAUCUUGAUUUCAAGCGUACAUUUGUGAAGCAAAACACAUCAGGUGACUUAUCUUGGAAGGGUGCUUCAAUCUAUGUCAUUCUAACAUCCAUUACAUUACGUCAAAUAGGACAUCCAAGAGGAAAACCCCGGUCACUUUUUGUCUUGUAACCGCCGAAGUUCACCUUGUAAUUCGAUAUUUCGUUGCUGCGUCAAUGUGCUAUUUCCACUGCAGUAACGUGUUGCUAUGUAAAUAUCGUGCCAAAUAUUAAGUUAUGUCUUUGCAAAUUUCAAGUUUUUAAUAUUUUUUAAUAUAAAAUGUACUUUAGUAUUUAGUCUAUCUACGGGGUAAAUUUUAGAAAUAUUAACGUCCAGCAAUUAAGUAAUGUUUCAAGUACAUAUACUAUAAAAUAGGAAAAAUAUUUUUUAAUACAUAUGUAAAUAUUAAUGCUUGUAUUACCACAUGACUUUUUAAUUCUUUGAACAUACUUUUUGUAAUUGCCAAAUUAGGAAAUCUACUUAAUUCUUUCUAAUUGCCAAAUUAAUAUUAUUCUUGGAAGAGGUAGUACUGUGAAAAGCUACAUUUAUUUUGUCAAAUAUUUUUCUGCACAAGAUAGGUCUUAUCAUUUUAGUUUAGUGAAUAUAAUUUAUAGUUGAUGGUUUUGAGAUUAUAUUUAUUUAUUUACUCCUUCUAGAAUAUUGAUUUGCAAGAUUUUGCAAUUUAAAAUAUAAAGAUAUCAUUUAAAUAUAUCAAAGUGUAAUUUGUCAUACCAUAUCAUCAUUAUUGUUCAAAAUCAACUUAUUAUUUUAUACUUUUCAAAACUUAUAAAAAUAUAUAUUUAGAUAUAAAGUGAUGCUAAUGCCACCAAUUUUUUUGCUAUUACCACCACAAUCUAUUACCAAUUCAACAUAUUUAUUCAGUUCUUUUUAUUUAAAAAUAAAAAUAAAAAUAUUUAACACUAUUCUUAACAUCAAUCAAAAAAUAUUUAUUUCUAUUAAUAAACAUUGACAAAAGAUGUGGGUAAAUGGUUGAUUGUGGAGGCAAUAGCAAUAAUAUAUAUACAAUAUAUAUAUAUAUAUAUAUAUAUAAUGUCUUUGGCUAUUCUUCUAUUCAUACUUGUAAAAAUUCACUAUUAGUAUAUCUAAAGAAUAGUAAGAUUAUCUGUGUGAUGCACUUAUUAAAUGAAAAUUUAAAAUUUCAUAGUAAAUAAAUAAACCAGAAAAUGAAAUACAUAAAAAUUGAUAAAAACAACAUAUAUUUUUCACUUUUUAUUUUUAUUUUUAUAAUUUAUGGUUGUUAAAAAAUUCGUAAAUUACAUAUUCAUUUAAUACAAAAUAUAACAUCUCAAAAAAAAAAUCUCUGACUCUAGUUAGUAUUUUUUUAUUUUUUAUUUUUAUUAUGUGUAUCGUACAAACAAACUUAUUGUCCUUUACACAUGUUAUUCAUGACUUUUUACUAGUAUGGGUGAUUGAAUAGCAACAACCUGUACAAAACAAUGUAAGUAUUGUUUGAAAUGGCACAAAAAAUUCAUCAUAAUCCAAUACUCCAUAAUCAAAAAACUCACAAUCCUUGAUUUCAAUGACUAUUAUAGUAAGAUUUCCAAUCUUAUGAGAUGAUAGAAUUCCAAGUUGAAAUAACCUACAUUUCAAUUGCAUGUCCAAAAAGGUUGGCAUUAUAACAAUGAAUGACUGACUGACUAAACUUUAAGUUUCCCAUCAGUUCCACGGUUCCAGUCCGGGAAUCAGCAUGCGACGAGGAGCACAAGACUGAGAGGCUCCGAAGCACAAGAGCAAGCAGAGGCCGUCGGCCCGCCCAAAUUCGACGCUCGCGCGCUUUCUUCGCCAUCAAUUCAAAGCGAGGUGUUCCAUCCCCCGUCGCAAUCGUGAUGUAGCUGGUGGCCUCUCGGAGAGCAAUGCCGCGAUGGGCAAUGAGGGAGCGACGGAAAGAGACGAAUGAAGGCAAGAAUUAAAAGGAGCGGGAUAGGGAAAUGGUCCCCGCAUCGCCGAAGCCUUGCUAACGAAUUCUAUGCCGCGGCCUCGUCGGAAUCUGAUGGCAUUCAACGGCGCACUUCUCACGUCGAUUUGAGCCAUCGCGCUGCCUUCCGGCUGCGGGGAACAGCAGGAGGAUUAGGAGGAGGAGGAGUUAGAAGAGCCUCCAAUCAGUCGUUUCCCCUGUGCGCUGGAACGCCGCAGUUUGAAUUUCGGCUGAUUUCGGUAGAGGCGUGAGAGGGGAUGGUGGUGCUGACGCGGUGCUAUGGAGAACGAAGGUGAGGGAUUGUUGAAGGGGAGUAAAUGCGGAGCUGCAAGCGUGAGCGAUUCAUGUAGGAGAGGCCGCAGUAUGUGUGUGUGUGUGAGAGAGAGAGAUGGAGAGAGUUUUUGUGAGAUGAAUUUGGCGAGCGGAGAUCCCGUGGUCACAACCGGGCUGUCGCGUUCCUGAGUCCUGAUUUCUGUAAUUUAUGAGCUCGAUAAGGAGGCGUCUGUCGGGCCUGGAGUUUUAGUGUCGUGCUGAGUAUUCAGAUAAUCGUAGCAUUGUCGUGGUUUAAAUAUGGGAGCGGAAUGCAGAAGAUUGUUAUAAUUUUUCCCACUGGGCUAACGCUUGGUUUGGUUUCUUUGUACCGCGUGUUUUUAGUGACUGUUAGUUUUGGAAUUGGUGGUAGUUGCUGUCGUGUUGCUAGUUUUUUGUAUUUCCUUUUAAUUUUGCAAUGAGCAUUAUAAUCAAAUUUUAUAACAAAGUUAUGUAUAUUAAUCGUUUUGUAGAGAGCACAGACUUUUGAGUGCCUUUUUCGAGUAAUUCGAAGUCGGGGGCUGCGAUUGUGAGUGGAACGAGCUUCGAUUCUCGAUCAUCGAAAAAUUUCACGAAGCAGAUGACGGUAUUGCGAGUUGUUCAGUUGGAUGAUGCGCGCAUGUGUACAAUUUGUCGGGUCAAGAGGAUACUGGUGACGCUACGUUAGAUCGAGGCCUGAAACACGCGUGCCGCGAAAUGGACACCUUCCUAGCGAAGAUUGAGGAGUUGAAGAGAGAGGCUGAACGUUUGAAGCAUACUUGCCGAUGUGUGAGUACUACACCCACCGGGAUCAACAAAAAAACAAAAAGAAAUAUUAUCAGCUAUAAUAAUGAUAACAAUGGUAUUAUUGCCAGCCCCGGGGGGCUGUUCUCGAACGGCAUCACUUCCUCACCUUGUAAUAUUCCAGGCUACAAGGUGAUAGUCUUUCAUUACACUGUUCAUACUAAUCGAUUCAAACAUAUUUUCAGCACGGAUCGAGGGAAUUAAUCACACGUUUUGGGCCAACUUACAAACAAAACACGUAAUUCCAUUUAAUUGCUGUGGUCGUAGUCCUCACUUAGUGGCACUCUCAAGGAGGUUUGACUUGCAUCAAGUGCAGUCUGCACCCAUGCACUGUUUUGCAUUGGUUCCUUUCCAUCUGGCCUGCUCUUUUAUCCCUUAGUACGUACAAUUUAAAGGAAUUGUACAUGAAAGUUUGAUAUGCGGAAUUUGGAACAGUUGGAUUUUGAAGGGCCUGGAGGAGAUGGUGACUGGGUGACAGCAUUUAAGGCAGAUGCUGGGCCAUGGUCAGGUGAACGGCUUGUGGUUCUCAGUCUAUUUGAUGGACUUGGCGGAAUUUGGCAAGCGCUGACCAAUCUAGGCAUCCCGUUCAGUGGUUACAGUUCUGAAGUGGUAAGCAUAAAACCCUCUCUUCAAAAGAUAGCAUGCCAUCUUCAGAGAGAAUGUCUCUAGGAUUUGAUCUACGCUCAAAGGAUUGAAUGUCACGUUCACCUCGUGCAGAAGCUUUGUCAAUGAGAACUGCGAAAUUCUUAUUCGGAUAAACUUUUGGCUAUGAUGUUUUUUCAUUGGAACGCGGUCACCAAUUGCGUAGAUGUCUUGAUAGGAGCGACUAUGACGGUCACACCGUGAGCUAUUCAUUGAAUUACCUGGAGCUUACACUUUUCUUGUGAUUUCGUUCGUCGCUGAUGGUAAUUGAUGCGUGGGGUGUUCUGUCAAAGUUGGCGCCAGCAAUACAAGUUGUGAAAUCCCGGCAUCCCCACGUCAAGCAUGUGGGCGAUGUUAGGAAGUUGAAUCUGUCUGCCAUACCUGAGAAGGUGGAUCUUGUAGUUGGCGGCUUUCCAUGUCAGGAUCUAAGUAUUAUGGGAAAGAAAGAAGGGUGAGGCUUACAAAUUGAGAUUGCGUAUUUUUUCACUGUUCUUUGAAACAUAUGCCGGAUAAUCUUACAAUUGUCUUGAUAUUUGCGUAUACAGUUCAGUAUUUCGGAUCAUGCCCGACGGUUGUUGGAUGGUCGUAGUGAGUGAAGCGUAGCUUUAGAAAUCUGCGUUUCGGAAUGACCCUUCUCAGUCGGAGUGCGUUUAGGCGGCAUGCUGGAGUUGUGAGUCAGUCUGUGGCUGUUUGCUAAGAUAUGUACCGUAGAAUUAAUCUGGAGUAUGGUUGAUUUCAGGGGUAUUGGUGAUAGCUUCCUAUUACUACUGUUAUAAUUUAAAUGAUUUUUUUUUUUUUUUUUUCUGCCAGGCUUCAUGGAAGUAGAAGCAAACUCUUCUUCGACCUUCUUCGUGUUUUACAGAUUUUCAAACCAAAAUGGUAUUCUAUCGCAACAUUUCACUGGGGGAAGUCUAGGUUAAUUUUAUUGUCUCGAGGCACAACUUGGUCUAACUGUGUCGGGCGCCACUCUCGUGUACAGCUAUCAUGGUGAAGCGUGACAUGAUCGUUCAAUGUUUGUUGUCAGGGGGACUAGCGAGGAUUUUCAAUGAAGGUAGACGAUUGUAAUGUCCAUUUGUACAUGGCCCGAUCUCAAUGGUGUUUCUUCACCUCCAUUUUCGGUCGCAGGUUCUUAGUGGAGAAUGUUGCAUCGAUGUCUUGGGUUGACCGAGAGGAAAUUACUAGGCAUCUGAAAGUGGUUCCCAUGGAGCUUGAUUCUCAAGAGAUCACGGCAAGUAAACGUCGUCGUUUGUACUGGACAAAUAUUCCUCAUCCUCCACGGCUGCCUCGCUUACGUGAUCAUCCAUCCACAUCCCUCCAAAGCUGCCUUGAGGGUGCACUUGCACUAGAACAGAAAUGCGGGGUAAGUCCUUGAUAUCUGGAUCGAAUCGCUUACUUUGUUGAUCGUUACAUGUUUUUGCUGAAUUCAGUUACUGACUUAGUUGGAGUGCUCAGGUUGUCCUCUGCAACAACCUUUAUAAAGGUGGUGGCGCUAGACUGGAACUCGUCUUGGAUAAUACAAUCAAUAAACUCCGUUACAUCAAACAGACGGAGAUUGAGUUGCUCAUGGGGUAUCCCAGGAAUUACACUAACGUUGUGGUACGAAGAACCAAGAUAACAGAAAAAAUUAUAAAAGCCGUACGGAUACCAGAGUAAGACAGCCAAGGAUGGCCCGAGCUCUAUGUCGUAUUGUUGUCUCAAUCGCAUGUGUUUGAGUUGGCCCUUUUUUGUAGAACUAUUUGUUAGCUAGAUUUGUUGCCUGCCAAUGUGCCCUUUUGUUCAACCAGGAUGUUAACAGGUGUUUGUUAUUUGAUAGCACAACAUAACAUAUAGAGCCGUUGUCUCAGACAUAAAGAGUUCUGGAAGAGAGCCUGAAACGUGCUGUAUUAUUGUUCUCCUUAUUAUUGAUUCACAGCAGCUUUACUUCCAGAGCCCAUUAUAUAAUCGGGUUAAUGUUCUCAGGAAACCUACGGUUGCUCUGCCUAAAUCAAGCCCUCCACAAACUCCGUCAAUAAGACAGCUGCGCAAGAACAGGACGUCGCGGACUUUUUUUGCACCACAAGUUUGGGAGAGAAAUCCAACUAGGCAGGAAAGCCUUAAGGACCUGGAUAGGUGGUUUCUACUUGGAAAUAGCUUUUCGGUAAGAUUCAUCUUUCAAUCCUUUUUGGACUCUCACAAUAAAUCAGCUUUUGUAACUGAUAAUGUAGUCUCAGAAGCAUCAAAUCUUCUCCUUUUCACAAUUUAUGGAAUUUGGAAUAAUGUCGUCGUGGGAAUUUCAGGUGCAAGUAAUUACGUACCUCACGAGCUCCUUGCUGAAAUCUGAAGUUCGUUUUCAUGGAAAAGCAGUGAAUAUUGUCGGCUCAGUGAGGGAGGAGGAGUUGUCUGCUAUGGAACCUGGUGAUGUAUGCUCCUUUUCUUUCAUGUGUGAUUAAUGCCCUCCUCUUGGUAUAUUUUGAACAUGUGCUCAAACAGGUGACUUUUCCUUGUCAUAGUGCAAUCUUGUCUCUCUUGCAUAAUGGUUCCUGUUUCUAUAUCGAUUGUUGUACAACUGGAAUUAAUGAGCUAUCGCAACAUGGUGUUUUACCAUUGGCUAUUACACAACUAAUACGAUCUUGACCUAAUAACCAUGUGACCAUUGCUUGUUGGUAGGUAUGGGCUUUAUUCAAUGAGCAUGGGCGACCAAACUGGUACGCCGUCAUUCAGUCGCGAACUGGGGACAGAUUCUCUGAAAUUCCGGAUGCUACCGGAAAACGGAGUAUCACAAAGCUGCCGCUCAGCAUUGAAAUGUGAGAUUUUGUUGUCUACAAACGUUUUAGUUUAUGCUCUUCCCUUUUAACGAUUGAUAAUUCACUUUUUAAUCUUGUUCAGCAUGCUAGCUCUCUUGAAGUAUCCGAAUGCCUUCACUAUGUUUAGUAAUCGGUUUUUUUGAUGAUUUGUCUUUAAGAUGAUGCCGUAGUAUUUUCUACAAAUUGCAGGAAAUAUCUGGAAAUGACGCCUGCUUAUGCCAAGGACGAAGUAGAUGAGUGGAAUCCACAGCGAGGUUCUGGUUUACUGAAGCUACGUGACGUAGUAGAUAUUCAAGACAAUUGGCAAGCAUUUUCUCACAGGUGCACACAUCAUUUUCUUUUCCAACAAUGUUGGAUCGAUGCCAAGUACCUUUUAUGCACCAAAUCUAAUUCUUGUCUCUCUGACAUUGUACAAAUUCUUGAUGAAUCUUAUGCUGUUUAAUCAACCUCUUAAAAUACAUGAAGUUACAAGGUUGAUGAAAUUCCAUGAAGUCCUAAAAGGACGUGAAUACGAGUGGAAUUCUCCGACCACCAAACAUAGAUGGAGACCUAUUCCCACUACUGAAUAUUUUUAAUUGCAUAUUGGGGGUUGUUGGGUUCUUCAAACCAGGGUGACGAGCUAUGUGAAAUUCGAAAACUCUUAUUUUGUGUACCCAGGAAACGACGAGGUUUGGGCUGUUUAUCAUGCCGAAACUUUGAGUCGUUAUUUUGUGGUAAGUUUAUUACUUGAAAUAGGAUAUCGUCUGACUCUGAACUAGAAUGUUCAUUCGAUACGUGGAAAAUCUUUGGCUGUCGUGAAUAGUAUGUAGAACAGAGUCAAUGAUGCAGUCAGAAGUGCAACACUCUGCUCGAAGAAAACACUCAUAUCUUGGACUUAUAUGAUGCUUUGGGAGCCGCGACACUAUAUUUACAGGGAAUACUGGCAUGAUCGGCACAAGAUUGUUACUAUUAAUUUUCCUGUUCAAAUUAUCAUGGAUGUUCUGGUGUUUCCAAGACCUCGAAUUCAUACUGAUAUGAUGUGUGUUGGCAGUAUGUGGUAGAAAGCACGAUUAUUUGCGCCAGAUUACUUAAUGACAAACCGGGACAAGAUGAAGGAUUUCUCGCACGAUGCUUGCUUUUGCAAAAAACUACAGAACACGAAGUUUACCUGUAUGAUUUCUUAUCUGUAUUGUACAUCAUUUCUUAUAACUAAAAUUCAUGUUUUCAUAAGUAUCUGUGUUUCAGUUGUAGCUUCAGACAUUGGUCAUUUCAAUACCUAUUUUUUCAUGUUCUACAAGGUUCAUGGUCCAGUUCUGUAAUUUCGUGUAAAUGGGUGUUAGGAUUGGGCUCGUACAAAGCACCAGUCACUGAUUUUUGCACCGCUCUCUGAAUAUUCUGUGUUUUAUAAAUGUGACCAGAAAAACUUCUAAAGAGGUGGAGCUUAGUGAUAUCCAACCCUUCUGCUUUAGAGUGCCGUUUCAUAUCAAGAACGAGGCAAAUCUGUUGAAAGUGGAGGUAUCUGGUGUCAAGAGCCGACAAAGCAUGAAAGCCGACAGAGAAACGACUGCAGGGUAUAAGAGAAGGAAGCAGGGCCAAGGUGAAUCAGAUGAUGAUGACGACCUUGAUGAUGUUGACAACAACUCCCCUGAAGACGUUAAUGCUGAUGGUACCACUGCAGAGGAAAUGUUGGCUGAAGAUGAAGCCAUAGAGGUCAUGAAUGGGGGUUUGGAGGUGGUCGUGGCCCUUCCUGACGAUAUUGGUGAUACGAAUGGAGGGACACACUGAGACCUAUCAGAAAUGAGCUUUGUACAAGUAAAUGAUGUUUCCACUUAGGAAACCUGCAGCACUCCGGAAAUCGGAGUAAAAGAUGCCACUAAGGUUAGAAAUCAAUUGCACAUCAAAUAAUCUCGAUUCGAAGUUGGAUUUCUAAACCACCAUGCCUACGUCAAAGAAACUCACAUCUCUGAAAUCUCACGAGGGUGGGCACAUCGGAGGAUACAGUUUCCAGCUCUUUUCUGUACGUAAACCAGGAAUUUGACAAUUGACUGCAUUUUUCAAAUUUUGUUGCCGUGGAGCUUGUGAUGAAGUUGCGCGCUAUGUUCCUCUAGCUGCUAGAAACCGACUUCUUUCAAAUAGGUGAUAGAGAUGACUUUCUGUACAGAAUUUGCAACUGUACCCUUCACGUUUCAUGUUGCUCUUGGUCAGAAAAAACACAUAAGUUCAUGGGUAAAUUCCACCGUUAGAGCCAAACUAUACUCUCUUACAUUUUUCCAUGUCAUUCACGGAUAUUUUUCUAGCUGUUUCAAAACUGUCUUUGAGUUGGUAGCGGGAGGAGGAUCGAGUUAUUUUACUUCAACUCAGAUAAAGUCGAAGGUUUACCUCAAACAAAUCAAAAUUUUCAUUUCAAUGAUAUUAUUAUUUUGGUGAAAUUUCUGGUUACAAUAAAAAAACGUGGAGAGUUCUAAUAAUGCCUUUACCUAACUAACUACUCAACUAACUAACUAACUAACUAACUAACUAACUGUAUAUAUAUAUAUAUAUAUAUAUAUAUAUGCACAUACUCUCUUACACAAUUAAAUGGACUAUAGGAUUUCUGAAGUGUUUGAUGAAAAAAAAUAUUUAAUGUAUUAUGGAUUCUGUUAAUGUUAUUUAAAAACAUGUGUUAUGUUUUUAUCUACUUCUUUUAUUCUUGUUCUUUUUUAUCUUUGCCAGUAUUAUAACUUUGAAAGUAUAAAUUUUAAAUUUAUUCUUUUAAAAUUCUUUCAAAAUUUGAAAGUUGUCUAUCAUUAAGCAUUAAUGAUCCAUAAUAAUCUUGAACUACUAAAACAUCUCAUGUUGUUUCUAAGUUUGGAUACAUGAAAUCUAAAAGGUUAGUGGUUCAAUUUGCAAAAGCAAAAUUUCAACUAUAUUCAAUAAAAUCUUAUAAAAUAUUUAUACUUAGGUCAAAUAAAUUUUAAAAAUAAUUUAUUUAAUUAAUUAUUCAUAUUUUAAAUUUCAUAAUAACUAUUUUUUGUAAAAUUAUAGAAGUAUAAUUAUAAUAAGAAUAGAAAUAUAAAAAUAAAAACUAUGAUAAAUUGUUGUUAUGAAGAAUCAAGUUAUAAUAAAGAUUAAAUAAAAUACUUGUAUUUUAUAAGUAAACUUUGAAUUAUAAUUAAAUUUAUAAAGUAAUUUAUUUAUCUUAAAAAUAAAUAGCUUUAUAUUUAAUUUAUUAUUUUCAUAAUAUAUUUAAGAAUUGAUAAUAAUCUUUUAUAUUUAUUAUCAAUUAUGAUUUAUUUUUAAUUUUAAAAUAUUAAAUUGACCUACCUUUACGAUUCUUUAAAUUGACCUAUCUUUGAUCUUACCAUCUUAUAUUACAUCAUAUAUUUUUCACUAAUCCAAAGAAGGUUAUCUUUGAUUCAUAAUGAAUUUGUCUUUAACAUCUAUGAAAUAGAUUUUAAAGCCAACCUUACAUGUGUGCAUUGAAAUCAUUCCAAUCUGUCCAUAUAAUAAAUUAUAAUAUUAUCACAAACAUACAUAUUGAUUCCAAUAAUUACUUAGAUAAUAUAAAUAGAUAAAAGUAAGUAAAAGUAGAUUAAUUUGAUAAUAUCUUAUAAAAAAAACUUCUUAGAAGCUUCAUAGAUGUGAUUUCAUCUUUAUAUGUAUCUAUAGGUAAUUGAUAAGUUAGAAACUUUGCCAACAAGUUAGCUAUGUGUCACAUGUAUUGGUAGCUUGUGGUACAAGCUAAUCAUGUAGUACAAAUAUAAAAAACUUGCCUUGCAAGCUAAGUGUUAUUCUUGUUGUAUUCAAGCUUCAGUAUACCAAAGCAAUUGAACUAAUAGAGGUAGGUUCGAACAUGGAGAAAGACUGAUUAUAUGAAUUGGAUCUGUUAGUGUCACAAUUGACUGUAUUCUGGCUUUCUAAAAUCCAGUAUCAAACUACAAAACACCGAGGCUUACUACUUCCAUCUUAAUUCAACCCAUAAUCCAUUCUAUGAUUAACAAUUUAAUAAUACUUCUUUCAAUCACAAUUUUUCAUAAGCAAAUAAUAAAAAAAAACAAAGAGGUAGUACCAAGCAUACCUCGGCUUACGACUCUCACAGUCUGGCUCUCGGCUUACUUUUCUCAACCUAUUUAUCCUACCAAAAAGAUGAUCCAUCAGCCAACGGAUUUCAAAAGUUAUGACCUUUUGAAUUCGUAACCAUUUAUUCCACUAAUAACCUACUAUUACUAAGUAAACUGCCUAACCAUAAGUCUAAUUCUCAAGGUUGUCAAUAAUCAACUAGUAACUUACCACAAAGUUUAUUUACCUAUUCUACAUAGCCCCACUCCUAAUUAUGCAGCAUCAUCGUAAAUAUUAUUUAGCCUCAACUUAUAAAGACGUAGCAGCGUUGGCUUCUUCAGUCAAUGGCGUUGGCUUACCACCUUUUGAAAUGGUGACCUUCUCAUCUUUACAUCUUCAUCGUCUACCUCGGUGUUCAAUGGUUCUCCAUCCAAACACGCCAUCAGAUCUUCAUUCAACAAACUCAAUUCCCAUACCUAAAACUCACGUCGGGCAAUUUGAUUGUCACGCUCCUCCAACAUCUUCUGCCAUUCUUCUGUCGGUUUCAAAGGUAUCUCCGAAGGCAUUAUCGCUGAAAUUGGUAUAUUCGUCCGCACUAAAUUAUUGGCCUCCUUCUCUAAUGCAACCAAUUGAGUCUACAACAUCACAACCUCUACCUGCAACCACUCUUGCUGUUCCUUCCAAUCGGUCUCCAUCCUUACUUUCUCAGAUACCAUGUUCGCCAUCUUCUCCUUAACCACAAAAGAAAACACAAUGCUUGUCAAGAGCCCCCCUCUUACUUCUUACUACGGUCCAAUCAAUUGAGUCGACUCCCUCUUUUGUAACAAAAAAUCCGUCCUUAGUUUAUGUAUAGUAAAGUUUAAGCCAAUUGCCAUUGAUCCGUGUCGUAAAUUUAGUACCCAUAAAAUCUUCCAAUUGUACCGAACCAUUUGGAAAUCCGUCAAUAACUUGAUAUGGCCCAUGCCAUUGAACUUGAAAUUUUUCUGAUUUUUUUUUUAAAUUGAUUAUCGUAAAGAAGUACCAAAUCAUUUGGUAUAAAAACCUUUGGUCUAAGCUUACUAUCAUAAUAAAUCUUCUUUUGUUUUUGUGUAGUUUCCAUUAUCAUUAAUGCAUUGGCUCUAAUUUCAUCUAAUUUUUUCAAUUCUUUUAAACGGUGCCGUAAUGAAUCUUGAUCUCACAAUCUAUUAUCUAUAGCAAUUCGUAAACUUUGGACUUCCAAUUCAAUAGGUAAGAUUGCUUCUUGGCCAUAAACCAAUUGGAAAGGGGUAGCAUUGGUAGUAACUUUAUAUGCAGUACGGUAUGCCCAUAAAGCUGCAAACAACUUAGUGUCCCAAUCUGUUCCCGCUCCUGAAACUGCUUUUGUUAAGAUUUUACAUAAAAUUCUAUUAGUCUUUUUUGUUUGUCCAUUGGCUCUAGGAUAAUACGGUGUAGUCUUUCGAUGUUUUAUCUUGUAUUUAGCCAUGAGUGCUUCGAUUGUACUAUUUAUGAAAUGAGUUCUUCAAUCACUAACAAAUUCUUGUGGACAACCAAACCGUAUAAUAAUAUUUUCAUACAAAAAGGUUGCUACUAUACUUGCACUAUCGGUUUUUAUAGCUAUGGUUUCAGCCCAUUUUGUUACGUAAUCCAUUGCUACCAAUAUAUACCAUUUUUGUCCAUUUCUCGAGGCUGGUACAAUUGGUCUCAAAAAAUCAAUUCCCCAUUUUUCAAAAGGCGCUUCAGCCAAAAUUGGUACCAAUGGCAUUGUUGAAGUUCUAGUAGGUCGACCCAUUCUCUGACAUGGGUCACAAUGAUGGAUGAAUUGGUGGGCAUCUCCAAAUAUUAAGCCACCAAUAACUAGCAUAUAAAGCUUUACGAGCUGUGCUUUCCCCCGCAAAAUGUCGACUACAACUGUCUAAGUGGCAACCUUCCAAUAUAGUAUGCACUUCAGUCUGAUAAAUAUAGUAUUGCAAAACUCCAUCCUUGCCUUGUUUAUAUAAAGCUUCAUCAAUCAUCGUAUAAGGUGCACAUUUUAAUAUUAAGCAUCAUUUAAGCUUUUCAUUAAAAUUAGGUGGAAAGGUUUGAAAUGUCAAGUAUUGAAUUAUUUCACUAUACUAUGGAGUAAUUACAUCUACUGCAAACAGUCCCGCAUCAGGUAGUGCAUCGUUAAUGGGUUCAUUACCUAAUAUAUUGGAUAAUUGAGAUAAAUGGUCCACAUUGAAAUGUGAUUUUUCUAGUCUUACCUGAAUAAUAAAGUCAAAUUCUUACAAGAGUAGAACCCAUCAUGCAAUACGACCAUUCAAUUGAGGCUUAUUAAUCAUAUAUUUUAAAGCAUCAUGGUCGACAUGGAAAAUAAAUUUAUAACCAAGAAGAUAAUGUCGAAACUUUUGUACGGAAUAAAUCAUUCUCAAUGCUUCUCUUUCGGUUGUUGUAUAAUUUCUUUCCGCUGCUACCAAUUGAUGAUAAGCAUAAUAAAUAGGGUGAUCAAAACCCCGGUCAUCUUUCUGGCUUAGCACAGAACCAAUUGCGACAUUAAAUGCAUCUACAUAAACUUGGAAUGGUUUUGUCUAACAAGGUGCCACCAAUAUUGAUGCUGAAACCAAUUUCUGUUUCAAUGUUUCGAAUGCAAUUGUACAUUCUUUUGUCCAAAAUGGACUGAUUCCAUCGGUUGGUGGUUUCUUCAAGAGAUUUGUUAAGGGAAGGCAUAUAGCUACGAAUAGAUAGAUAAAUCACCGAUAAUAACUGACAUGGCUGACAAAUGCUAGAACACCCGUAAUAGUGUCUGGUUGCUUUAAUUCUACUAUAAUCUUUUUUUUAUCCGGAUCUGUAGUAAUGCCUGCCAUCAAAACUAUAUGACCCAAUAAUUUACCAGAAGACACACCAAAUUGGUAUUUUUUUGAAUUUAAAGAAAUUCCAUAUUUGGCACAUUGAUUCAAAUAUUGACCAAGACAUUCUAAGUGACAGGCUCUAAUACUAAAUGUACAGAAAUCAUCUAGAAAUAUUUCCAUUGAAAUUCGUAGAUAAUCUUGGAAUGAUUAUGUCAUUACCCUUUGAAAUGUAGCUAGUGCAUUACAAAGCCCAAAUGGCAUAACCUUAUAGGCAAAGGUCCCCCAAUCCGUAGUAAAAAUAAUUUUUAACUAGUCUUCUUUUACAAUCUUAACUUGAUUAUAACUGAAGAAUCCAUCAAGAAAUGAAUAACAUUCAUGUUUAGUAAUGGCAUUUAAUAUACUAUCCAUAAAUGAUAAAAGAAAAUAAUCCUUCUUGGUAGUCGCAUUUAAUUUUCAGAAAUCUUGACAGAUGCAUCAUUCUUCUUGCAUCUCCAUCUGGCAUAUUGGGUGUCUCCACCGGUACAUACCUACUAGGCUUGUUCCAUGUAGGGUUAGAAAAUGAUCCUAGUUGUCUCAUUGGUAUGGAGGGUACUUGGUUUGAUGACGCCGAUGGAGCAUAUUGCUAAUACCUCUGCUGCUCCUUCCUGUAGUUCUGAGGGUUUGAUGUAGACCCCUGAUUAAAAUUGGAACUUUAAAAAUUAUUGAAUGUUUGAUUUUGUUGAUUAGAUCGAUUUCCAUUUCAUCCAUACGUACUUCCCGUUUGAACUUGAUUGACUUUCCAUUGAGUCAGUGGAAUCAUGUUCUGAUUACUGAAUUAUUGUUGCCUUUGUAAAUGCCAGCAGUUUUGGAUAGGGUGCUUUCCUCCGCAAAAUGUACAUUGAACACCCGUUUGUCUGGGUGAUGGACAUUCCGUAUCAAAGUGACCUGGUUCCUUACAAUUAUUAUACCAUACAUUAGGUCUCGUAUUAGAAGGCUUAUAUUGUUUCUCUUUAUCUUUAACCAAAUUCACAGCCAAUUCUUCCAUCAUCUUUGUUAGAUUUAAUAACAAGGCCUCAUUUGGAUCUUUAACAACUGCAUUUGUAAACAACUCUGAUUGUUGAUAGGUUGGCAAUGUAAAAUAAGGUAUCAUCGUUAUUGGCGCUAUUGCUUGGAAUGGUGUAGCAUUAAUUGGUUGUUGCAACAUAACAUUCUUCACAUUGGAAGCAACCAUUUGUGGAUAAUUAUCCAUCGAUACAUUUCUCGGUUGUAUUUGUUGGCUUCCUAAACUUGGAAUCAUUGUGGCCCCUACUGUUAACAAUUGGUCAUAAUGACAUUCUUUCCACACCUUUACUUGUGCCAAUGAUGCCUCUACCAUAGCUGGUCGAGCCUCUUUUACAAACAUUUUUAAUUCUAGUGGAUGCAAACCGUUAAUUAAUAUCGACAAUAUAAACGCAUCUAGCAUUUGAUUAUUUGACCAUUUACAAAGUAUAUCCGUGAUCUCACCAUAAUAGGACUCUACGAAUUUCUCUGCAAAUAUCUUUCUAUUCAUAAAACUUUCUCGAAGCCGAUCUUCAAAUCCAAUUGGUCUAAAAUGGGUUAAGAAGGCAUUCCUCAAGGCUUCCCAAUUGAGAAAUCUAUCCACUGAUUGUCGAAUAUACCAUUCAAAAGUUGUAUCUUUUAAAGUUGCUGGCAACCAUUUCAACCAAAUGUCUUCAGUUCUACCAUUAUUAGCUACGUAGGUUGUCAAGAAUUGAGAUAUAUGGUGAUCGGGAUCAGAGCCCUGCCAACCACUAAAAGUAGGUAAUGGUGCCUCACUUGUAGUUCGGUCUCCUACUACUCACAUUUGUAUUGCAAUUGGUACUUUUGGCACUCCUGCGACCAUUGGUGUUAUCAUUGGUCUCCUUACUAUUUGAAUCUGAAUUUUUCUUCCUUUGGUUUUUCUUGGACCUGCAAUUUCUUUUUGUCAUUCUUGUAGGAUAUUUCUUAUGCGUAAUUAUUCAUAUCUUUCUUUUGCUUGUCGAUUAAUUCUUUGAUAAUCCUCUCUCUCAUGAUUAUCACUCAUAAUCUUUCAUUCUUCUUUACAAAAUCAAUACUCCCUUGAAUUAUAACUCACAUAUUUGUAACUCUAAAACUGGUUCUUCUCACGUUCUCAUUCAACAUAUAAUUCCAUCUCCUAUACAAUCAAUUUCUAAAAUUUCAUAUUGUUAUCAUUUCCUUGGCAGCGACGCCAAAAUGUUGUUCUUGUUGUGUUCAAGCUUCAGUAUACCAAAGCAAUUGAAGUAAUAGAAGUGGGUUCGAACAUGGAAAAAGACUAGUUAUAUGAAUUGGGUCUGUUAGUGUCACAAUUGAUUGUAUUUUGGCUAUCUAAAAUCAAGUAUCAAAGUACAAAACACCGAGGCUUACUACUUCCAUCUUAAUUCAAUCCAUAAUUCAUUCUACGAUUAUCAAUUCAAUAAUACUUCUCUCAAUUACAAUUCUUCAUAAGCAAAUAAUAAAGAAAACAAAGAGGUAGCACCAAACUUACCUUGGCUUAUGACUCUCACAGUUUGGCUCUCGGCUUACUUUCCUCAACCUAUUUAUCCUAUCAAAAAGAUGAUCCAUCAGCCAGCAAAUUCUAAAGGUUAUGAUCCUUUGAAUUUAUAACUAUUUAUUCCACUAACAACCUAUUAUUACCAACUAAACUGCCUAACUAUAAGUCUAAUUCUCAAGGUAGUCAAUAACCAACUAGUAAUUUACCACAAAGUUUAUUUACCUAUUCUUCACUAAAAUACAUGUCUUACAAAUUUGAUACAUGCUGGAGGUCCUACAGAAUAUUAUUAUGUAGUUCUUAAGUAGAUAGUGUAUAUAGAAGCAAGAGUGAAGUCCUCUUUCUUCUUAUUAAUUUCUUUUUUGGUUCUAGUUUGGUUUCAAAGGUCUUUAGUUUUCUUGUCUUUUGACAAUAACCAUUAUAAUUUCUACUUGAUAUACAUACUUUUUUAUUUCUAUUUUGUCAUCUUUCUUUGAAAAAUUUUCUCUUGUUUAUUUACGUUUAUUAAGUUCUUGUCCUUGACAAAUUGAUGAGAACACACUUAUAAUAUCAAAGCUUUUUAAUUAAAAAAAGACAUAAGACAUAAGUAUAUUGGAAGUUGCACAUUAUUCUCUUCUAAGUUGAUAUUAUUUUUAGUAUUUUCUUUCUUUUUAAGUCAUUUCUUCUAUUUGUCUUAAGUUAUAUUAUUAUUAUUUUUUUCUAAUAUUAUCAUGGUAGAGUUUGUUGAAAUAAAGAGUGCAAUGGCAUAAAUGUAAGUGCAAUUGAUGAACUUAAUGCUUGUCAUACACCAAUUCAAUUUACCACUGUAAGGAGCAACAAGAUUGAUAAAAGUAAAGAUAUAGAGAAUAUUGGAGCUGCUUCAACAUUUGCACCAAAUCAUAUUACUUCUCCUAUAGUAAAAAAUCAUUCAAGCAAUAAAAAAUGAAGAGUUGCCAUGCCCAAGAAGUUUGAUGGUAUAAGAUUAAAGUUUUGAAAAUUCAUCAAUCAAGUAUAGUUAGUGAUUAAAAUUCAAUCCUAAUACUAGAUAAUAUAUAUAGAGAUAAGAAUGAAGCCUUCUUUACUCUUUUCAAUUUCUUUCUUGCUUCUAAUCUAGAUUUAACAAUCUCUAAUUUCCAUGUCUUUUAGCAAUAGCCAUUUCGAUUUUUUUUUAAUAUACAUACUAUAUUAUUACUCUUUUAUCACUUUCUUUUAUUAUAGAUUUUCUAGAUUUAUGCAUCUUCUUCUAAUUCAUGUUCUUGAUAGAUUGAUAAGAGUACACUUAUAAUAUUAAAACUUUAUUUUUUCUUAAUUAAGAGUAGAUUACACUUUUUUUUGAUAAGACAUAAGUGUAUUAGAAGUUGUGGAUUACCUUCUUUUAAAUUAAUAUUAUUCUUAAUAUCAUCUUUGUUUUCAAGUCCCUCUUUUUUUUAUCUUGAGUAAUAUUAGAUAUUUAUUUUCUAAGUAUCAUCAUGGCACAACUUAUUGAAAUAAAGAGUAUAAUGGUACAAAUGUAAGAGCAAUUGAAAGAGUUAAUGCUUGCAAUGCAUCAACUCAGUUUAUUACCACAAGGAGUUACAAGAAUGGCAGGAAGUGAUGAUAUAGAUAUGAUUGAAGUUGCUUCAACAACUGCAUCCAAUCAUGCCCCUUUUCCUAUGGUAGAACAUCCUUUCAAUGCUAGAGAACUAAGAAUAGCCUUGCUUGAGAAGUUUGAUGGCACAAGAUUCAAGUUUUGAAGAUUUAUCAAUCAAGUACAACUUGUGAUUGAACUUCAAUCCCAAAGCUAUCCAAUUCCAAGAUCACAAUUUAGAUUCAUUGAUAUAUUACUUUCAAGUUCUUCAUUAUUGUGGUUUUUAUCUUUUCUUGAACAACGAGUUCAAAUAUUAAAUAAUUUGGAGGCUUUUUUAAGAGAAUUUUGAUCCAUGUAUGGAGAAAAUGAUGGAACUCAUGUUGUAACUAACAAGAUCCAUAUUUUACAAUAAAGAAAUCAAUCUGUAAUAUUAUAUGAUUCACAAUUUUGAUAACUUGUAACUGAUAUCAAGUAUAAUGAUACUAUACUUAUUAGCUAAUUUCUCUAUGGAUUAUAAUAUGAGGUAAAGAAAUUGAUGCUCAACUUAUCUGAUCCUCAAACAUUGAGUUAAGUAAUUGACUUUGUUGUAAGGUGUGACAAUCAAUUUUUAAAAUUUCGAUCUAAGAAUUGGACUUGUGGGCCUCAAUGUUACUAUAAUUCAAUGGCAAUACCAAUGCCUCUUUAAUACAAACAUUUAGAAGUAGAGAAUAUGUAAAUUAAUAUAAUACAUUCAAACCUCUUAUUGAGCAAGAAAAGACUCGUUGCCAUCAAAAAGAAUUAUACCUAUAUUAUGUAUACUACUCAAUAUUAUCCAAAGAAGCGACACAAUUAUAAAAUGAGGAGUAUAAAUGUCAAAGAAGAUAAUAUAUCAAAAAAUAAGUUUGACCAGCUAUAAUAGGGACAAUUGUGGUAAGAUGUGGCAUUUAGCUUGAGAAUGCAUUGGAUACCUGACUGUGGAAGUGUAGAAUAGGUAAAUAAACUUUGUAGUAACUUAUUAGUUGGUUAUUGACAACCUUAAGAAUUAGACAGAUGAUUAGGUAAUUUAGAUGGUAAUAGUAGGUUGUUAGUAGAAUAAAUAGUUAAGAAUUCAAAUGGUCAUAAUUUUUGGAAUCCAUUGGCCGACGGAUCAUCUUUUUGGUAGGAUAAAUAGGUUGAAGAAAGAGAGACCGAGAGCCAAAUUGUAAGAAUCAUAAGCCGAGAGCAAGACUUUGAGAGUCCUAACUUGAAAGCCAGAUUAUGAGAGUCGUAAGCCGAGAGCCAGACUGAGAGUCGUAAUCCAAGAGCCAGACUGUGAGAGUCGUAAGCCGAGAGCCAGACUGAGAGUCGUAAUCCAAGAGCCAGACUGUGAGAGUCAUAAGCCCAGGUAAGCUUGAUGCUACCUCUUUGUUUUCUUUAUUAUUUGCUUAUGAAGAAUUGUAAUUGAGAGAAGUAUUAUUGAAUUGAUAAUCGUAGAAUGAAUUAUGGAUUGAAUUAAGAUGGAAGUAGUAAGCCUCGGUGUUUUGUACUUUGAUACUUGAUUUUAGAUAGCCAAAAUACAAUCAAUUGUGACACUAACAGACCCAAUUCAUACAACCAGUCUUUUCCCAUGUUCGAACCCACUUCUAUUACUUCAAUUGCUUUGGUAUACUGAAGCUUGAACACAACAAGAACAACAUUUUGGCGUCGCUGCCGAGGAAAUGAUAACAAUAUGAAAUGUUAGAAAUUGAUUGUAUAGGAGAUGGAAUUAUAUGUUGAAUGAGAACGUGAGAAGAACCAGUUUUAGAGUUAUAAAUAUGUGAGUUAUAAUUCAAGGGAGUAUUGAUUUUGUAAAGAAGAAUGAAAGAUUAUGAGUGAUAAUCAUGAGAGAGAGGAUUAUCAAAGAAUUAAUCGACAAGCAAAAGAAAGAUAAGAACAAUUACGCAUAAGAAAUAUCCUACAAGAAUGACAAAAAGAAAUUGCAGGUCCAAGAAAAACCAAAGGAAGAAAAAUUCAGAUUCAAAUAGUAAGGAGACCAAUGAUAACACCAAUGGUCGCAGGAGUGCCAAAAGUACCAAUUGCAAUACAAAUGGGAGCAGUAGGAGACCGAACUACAAGUGAGGCAUCAUUACCUACUUUUAGUGGUUGGCAGGGCUCUGAUCCCGAUCACCAUAUAUCUCAAUUCUUGACAACCUACGUAGCUAAUAAUGGUAGAACUGAAGACAUUUGGUUGAAAUGGUUGCCAGCAACUUUAAAAGAUACAACUUUUGAAUGGUAUAUUCGGCAAUCAGUGGAUAGAUUUUUCAAUUGGGAAGCCUUGAGGAAUGCCUUCUUAACCCAUUUUAGACCAAUUGGAUUUGAAGAUCGGCUUCGAGAAAGUUUUAUGAAUAGAAAGAUAUUUGCAGAGAAAUUCAUAGAGUCCUAUUAUGGUGAGAUCACGGAUAUACUUUGUAAAUGGUCAAAUAAUCAAAUGCUAGAUGCAUUUAUAUUGUCGAUAUUAAUUAACGGUUUGCAUCCACUAGAAUUAAAAAUGUUUGUAAAAGAGGCUCGACCAGCUAUGGUAGAGGCAUCAUUGGCACAAGUAAAGGUGUGAAAAGAAUGUCAUUAUGACCAAUUGUUAAUAGUAAGGGCCACGAUGAUUCCAAGUUUAGGAAGCCAACAAAUACAACCGAGAAAUGUAUUGAUGGAUAAUUAUCCACAAAUUGCUGCCUCCAAUGUGAAGAAUGUUAUGUUGCAACAACCAAUUAAUGCUACACCAUUCCAAGCAAUAGCGUCUAUAAUGAUGAUACCUUAUUUUACAUUGCCAACCUAUCAAAAACCGGAGUUAUUCACAAAUGCAGUUGUUAAAGAUCCAAAUGAGGCCUUGUUAUUAAAUCUAACAAAGAAGAUGGAAGAAUUGGCCUUGAAUUUGGCUAAAGAUAAAGAAAAACAACAUAAGCCUUCUAAUACAAGACCUAAUGUAUGGUAUAAUAAUUGUAAGGGACCAGGUCACUUUGAUACGGAAUGUCCAUCACCCAGACAAACAGAUGUUUAAUGUACAUUUCGUGGAGGAAAGCAUCUUAUCCAAGAUUGCUGGCAUUUACAAAGGCAACAACAAUUCAGUAAUCAGAACAUGAUUCCACUGACUCAAUGGAAAGUCAAUCAAGUUCAAAUAAGAAAUAUGUAUGGAUGGAAUGGAAAUCGAUCUAAUCGACAAAAUCAAACAUUCAAUAACUUUUGAAGUUCCAAUUUUAAUUAGGGGUCUACAUCAAACCCUCAGAACUACGGAAAGGAGCAGCAGAGGUAUUAGCAAUAUGCUCCACCGGCGUCAUCGAACCAAGUACCCUCCAUACCAAUGGGACAACUAGGAUCAUUUUUUAAUCCUACAUGGAACAAGCCUAGUAGAUAUGUAUCGGUGGAGUCACCCAAUAUACCAGAUGGGGGUGCAAGAAGACCACUUUGUUGUUUCCGUUGUAGACAGAUUGGUCAUUAUGCCAGUGUAUGUCUCAAUCGCAGAGUCAGUGAUGAUUGUGUGCCAAUAUGUGUGAAUUACAAGCAGUCGGGAUAUACUUAUCAGCAAUGUAAUCCUCAGUUCAAUGUCAAUAAUCAAGAUCAGCAGAUCUAAAGCCAAGGAAAAAUGGAGGAGAUAAAUCGAGGUCCUCAAGAUUCACCAGUUCAUCAAGUAGAAGUAGUCCAAGUUAUCCUUACAAGAAGUCAGCAAAAGGAAAAAGGAUCAAUUCAACAUUUGGGUGAUCUUGAAGCGAAGGACUAAUUGGACCCAAUUACGGAGACAUCCAAUCUAGGUCCUGACAUGGGCCCCUUACUCAGUAUAAGACGUGAAUCGAUUGUGCACCCUAAUGAGGUACCAAUUACAGAGGCUUCGAUUCCAUGUCGAGCUAUUCUAUUCUCUAGACAGUUUUGGGAAACGUCCUUUCUAUUGAAAGCUUCUCUAAGAGGUGUGGAUUCCAAGGAACCAAUAUAUGGCCGAUUGGGAGAACAAUCUUAUUCGUUAAAAGAACUGAUUUUACAGGCUCAAUCAAAUUCAAUUCCAAGAGCUUUAUCAAUUUCGAAUAUAGAGAAAACUAAUUUACUUGCGUCGGUGUCUAGGACUGGGAAGAAGAAAUAGACAUUGGAAAUUACCACUAAUACAAAAUCAUAUGAUAUUCUAAAAGAUUUGAAGACUAUACAGUCCACAAUCUCUAUGAGCAACUAUUGGCGGUAGCACCUGAGUAUCAAACUAUCUUGAAUUCUUCAUUAAUUUAUCAUCGAUUUUAAUAUAAAGAAAUCCAAGAAGUAAGUUUAAAUCUUGAUCCGGGUGCACCUACAAUUGAUGUCUCAAUUGAUGGAGUGUUAUUAUCGAGAGUGUAAGUAGACGGAGGAUCUAGUAUAAAUCUUAUGAAUGCUGCUACAAUAGAGGAACUGGGUUUGGAUCACUCUUUGUCUACUACAGUGGUUUUGAGAAUGACUAACUCCAAUCGAGUUAAACCUAUGGAUAUUUUAUGAAGUAUUGAUACAAUAAUUGUGGGCAUUACCUACAAAAUUGAUUAUAUUAUUUUUUGAUUGCAAAGCUUUAUAUUAUCAUACCUAAUUUUAUUGGGGCAACCAUGGUAAUAUCAAGCUAAAGCUUGAAAUGAUUAGGGCCAUGGUACAUUGACAAUCGAGAAAGAUAAUGAUAAAAUUGUACUUCAAAUGUACUAUGUCGAAUAUCAUGGAGAAAGUCAAGUUACCAAUUCUGAAUUUACGUUGGAUUGUGAAGAUGAGUCUACAGAAGAAGAAAUUGGUACACCUGCCCCAAUUUAUGCUGAUACAAGAUAAGUUGUCAAGUACACUAGAAUGACCUACCAAUGCAGGGGACUAGGAGAGUACUUAGUUCCUCCAAAUGUUAUUGACAAUUCUGAUCAUAUGAUUGCAUAUUGGAUGAAUAGACGAGAUGUUAAACACUUUAGUGCUAUGGAACUGAAGUUGGAAAGUUUUCAUGUGUCAGUUUUUAUGAAAGAUUCUAGAAUUGAGCAGAACAUUAUACUAGAGAGACCUGAAAUUCUACAAUGUCAACCAAUUAAUUUAGGUACAGGGGAGGCUCUCCAAAUCAUUCAGAUUUAUGACAGUAUAAAAGGUAAGGAGAAAGAAAUUUCCGUGGAUUACUUUUUAAUGCAUAAAACUGCUUUCGCAUGGUCAUAUGCAAAUUUGAAAGGAAUUCCAGCUGAAGUUUGUGAGCAUCGAAUUAUAUUGGAAGAGAACGCUACACCAAUACGCCAAAGAUACCAUUGACUUAAUACAAAAUACUCACUUAUGAUAAAAGAAGAACUAGAUAAACUCUUGGAGGUUGGAUUUAUCUAUCCGGUUCCUUUCAGUGAAUGGAUUUCAUCAAUUGUUAUGGUACCGAAAAAGAAUGGAAAAGUUUGCAUCUGUCAAGAUUUUUAAAAAUUAAAUGCGGCUACGAAGAAGGAUUAUUUUCUUUUACCAUUCACGGAUAGUAUAUUAAAUGCUAUCACUAGACAUGAAUGUUAUUCAUUUCUUGAUGGAUUCUUCGGUUAUAAUCAAGUUAAGAUUGUAAAAGAAGACCAGUUAAAAAUUAUUUUUACUACGGAUUGGGGGACCUUUGUCCAUAAGGUUAUGCUGUUUGGGCUUUGUAAUGCACCAGCUACAUUUCAAAGGGUAAUAAUAUAAGCAUUUCAAGAUUAUCUACGAAUUUCAAUGGAAAUAUUUCUAGAUGAUUUCUGUACAUUUAGUACAAGAGCCAACCACUUAGAAUGUCUAGAUCAAUGUUUGAAUCAAUGUGCCAAAUAUGAAAUUUCUUUAAAUUCAAAAAAAUACCAAUUUGGUGUGCCUUUUGGUAAAUUUUUGGGUUAUAUAGUUUUCAUGACAAGCAUUGCUACAGAUCCGGAUAAAAAAAAGAUUAUAGUAGAAUUAAAGCAACUAAACACUGUUAUGGAUGUUCGAGCAUUUGUCAGCCAUGUCAAUUAUUAUCGAUGAUUUAUCUAUCUAUUUAUAGUUAUAUGCCUUCUCUUAACAAAUCUCUUGAAGAAACUAUCAACUGAUGGAACCAAUCUAUUUUGGACAAAGGAAUGUACAAUUGCAUUCGAAAUAUUGAAACAAAAAUUGGUUUCAAUAUCAAUAUUGGUGGCACCUUAUUAGACAAAAUCAUUCCAAGUUUAUGUGGAUGCAUUUAAUGUCGCGAUUGAUUCUGUGCUAAGCCAGAAAGAUGACCGAGGUUUUGAUCACCCUAUUUAUUAUGCUUAUCAUCAAUUGAUAGCAGCUGAAAGAAAUUAUACAACAACCAAAAGAGAAGCAUUGGGAAUGAUUUAUUCCUUACAAAAGUUUCGAUAUUAUCUUCUUGGUUAUAAAUUUGUUUUCCAUGUCGACCAUGAUGCUUUAAAAUAUAUGAUUAAUAAGCCUGAAUUGAGUGGUCGUAUUGCAUGAUGGCUUCUACUCUUGUAGGAAUUUGACUUUAUUAUUCAGGUAAGACUAAAAAAAUCACAUUCCAAUGUGGACCAUUUAUCUCGGUCAUCCAAUAUAUUGGAUAAUGAACCCAUUAACGAUGUACUACCUGAUGCGGGACUGUUUACAGUAGAUGUAAUUACUCCAGAGUAUAGUGAAAUAAUUCAAUACUUGACAUUUCAAAUCUUUCCACCUAAUUUUAAUGAAAAGCUUAAAUGAUGCUUAAUAUUAAAAUGUACACCUUAUACGAUGAUUGGUGAAGCUUUAUAUAAACAAGGCAAGGAUGGAGUUUUGCUAUGCUGUAUUUAUCAGAUUGAAGUGCGUACUAUAUUAGAAGGUUGCCACUUCGACAGUUGUGGUGGAUAUUUUGCGAUGUCGUGUUGUAACACGACUAUAUGGUGAAAAUACAAAGGAAGAAGAUUUUAUUAUUAUUUAGUCAUCUUAAAUGUUAGUAGUAGCGACCAAUUCCAGUGCCAAUAUUCAGGGGCCAGUUAUUGUCACCUCAUCGUAGUUAGUCGAGGCAUACUUACCAGUAAUGAAAUGCUUCGUUUAAUUCCAAUAACAAGAGUCAGCAGAAAGAAAAAGGACUAAUUCAACGUUGAGUGAGCUUGAUGUGAAGGGCCAAUCUAAUCCAAUUACGGAGACGUGUAAUCUACGUCCUGUUACGGCCUCUUAUCCAUUAUGAGACCUGACUCGAUUGGCAACCCAAUGAGGUCCCAAUGCAAAGGCUUCGGCUCCAUUGUAAGCUGUUCCGUCGGCUGGACCAAUUCAGGAAGUCCAAGGCAGGAGGAUAUUGGACCACAUGGGGGGAUAAGCUGUUCUUUUGGCUGGACUAAUUCGGGAGGUCCAAGGCGGGAGGAUUGGACCACAUAGGAGAAAAAACUCUAUCAGCUGGACCAAUUCGGGAAGACCGAGGACAAAAUCGUGCUCGGACGGUAACUCAAGGGUCUUUUUAAGAGAUCGGAGAAGGAAUUGGAGAGACUGACUUAUGGAGGGAUAUUGGAGGAAGAGAGGAUUUUGUGUCGUUUGGGAUCAUUAUUGGAUUUUGGGGGGUUUUUAAAGCCAGUGAUGUUCUCUGUUAUUUUAGAUCUUUGAGAAAUAAAACCGAUUUAUAAAUUUUUGGAUUUCGUAAUAUUUAUAGCAUUUUUAUAGAUAAAAAUUUAGAAACUUAUUGGUAUGCUUGUUGUGAAUGUGUGCAAGAGGUUUGAGGUCAAUUGAAUGGCUAGAUCGAUACAUACGAAGGUUUUGUGAGCUAAGGUCUCGAGAUUUAGGAUUUUGAGGACCAGUAAGUUUUUCUUAGAUAUCUAGCAAUCUGCUAGUCGGAUAGAGGAGAUUUUUAGUUUUAUCAAUAGAAGACUUGAUUUCCUAUUUGCAAGUAAAAUUUGGAAGCAAUCGAAUGGUGGAAAAAGGAGAUAUCAGCAUUAGAAGUUUGGCAUUAGAUUGAAGAAGGAGAGGCCGACCGACAUCUGAGCGGAAUUUUGUCAUCAACUAAUUGGACCCUUUGUUGUAAUUUUCUUUUACCUUCUAUAGCCAGGUGCCCAGUGCAUUCUCAAGUAAGACUUCAUGUAAUAUGACAUUAGUGGUGAACCGGAUGUGAAAGCUUGAGGUAGGAGGUAUUAGAAUUUGUUUAUAUUCAUUCUUAUUUUUAUGGAGAACGAGAUUAAAAAUUUUGAGGGAGUUUUUGGUGGAGUUUCUUCUAAAGGACAAGGUGUAUGCAUGGAUCCAUCCAUAGCUAGUAUGUUUCAAGCCUUAUCACUAUCUAUGCAAUAACAGUAAAGCAAUGAUCGCAAAGAAGCUUUACCAACCAAAGCAUUGUAAGCAGUGGUCAAUAAAAUUGAUCAAUUUGAUGGAAGGGAUAUUUCAAGGUAUUUAAGAUGUUAUGUUCAAGAAAUGGAAUUAAAUCAGGUUUCUGAGAAGAAGGUGGUUGAAUUUUUUGGACUUGCCAUGAUACCAGAGAUAAGAGAACAUAUUACAUCGAUUAUGGAUCAUUAUGGAAAUUCAUGGGAGAUUUUUUUGUGUGCAUUAAAAGAUGAAUAUUUCUUUGAGGACACUGAUCGUGUUACUAAGAAACUAUUUUUAGAAUAGAUUGAGCAGCCUAAUAAAAAUUUGUAAGCAACCGAGCUACUAAGGGAGUUUGAGAGGCAGUACUCUCAAUUGUCGGAGGUAGAAAAAUUGACAUUAGAGCCAAACAAGGUUGAAUUAUUUUUCCAGGCUGCUGAUAGAGAAUUACAAGGAAAAUUGGAGUUGCUUCUUGAAGACAUAGAAGAAGAUGAAGGAUUGACAACAAAGUGGAAAAAUGUUGAAAGUGCGGUAGGUUUGCUUGUAAAAAGAGAAAGGAGGAAGGAUAGGAGUAAUAUUCCAAAAGCAGUACAAGCACCUAAAAUUCCAAUACAUACAACACGACGAACAAUGCCUGCUAUUCAACCUUCAACAUCUUUACCAAAAAAAGCAAAUAUGGAGAUCGAAGAAAUUAUACGAGGAAUGCGAGAUCUUCAAAUCAAAUUGGUAAGUCUUGAAGAAAAUACUUCUACAAAUAAUUUGAAGAAUGUUUCAAAACAAGGGUAUGUACAAAGAUGUAUUUGGUGUGAUGAUGCUUCGCAUACUAAGAAGGAUUGCGACGAAUUUAAUAACAUGAUAUGGCAAGAAGUUAUUUGCUUAAAAGAUGGAAAGAUAGCAUUAAAGGAUAUGGAGGUCCUCCUUAAAACCAAUUUUGGCAAGGAAGGUAUGAGAGCAUUGAUUCAAGAUUACUUAAAAGCGCAUGAAACAGCAGCACAUUGUCGUAAUAUGUGAAGUCUUGCUUGAGAAUGCUCCGAGCACCUGGCUGUGGAAGGAAGAAUAGAAAUUGUAAUAAUAAAAUCCUAAUUCUAAUAGAAUACUAACAAUACUCUAAUUAGAUCAUAAUAAUGCUAAACAAGCUUAAUCGAAUUCAAAAAAACCUCAAAGAAAUUUCAAACAAAUAAUAAGAAUUGUUAAAAAAAUAUUAGAAGGAUCACAAAUAUCACUCAAAUAUAUCUCAAUUCAAUCUUAAUUUAAUUCUAGUUAAAAUCCUAUUGAACUUCAUUAAAACUUUGGGCCAAAACUAAUUGAAUCUUAAAUCCUAAUAAAAUCCUAAAUCCUAAAUCAAACCCUAAACAAACCUUAAACCAAACCCCAACCAAAUCCUAAACCAAAUCCUAACCAAAUCCUAAACCAAAUCCUAACUAAAUCCUAAACCAAACCCUAAUCCAAAUCCUAAACCCUAAACCAAACUCUAACCAAACACUAAAUCCUAAAUAAAUCCUAAUCAAAUCCUAAUUCAAAUCCUAAAUCCUAAACCAAAUCCUAAUCCAAAUCCUAAAUACUAAACCCUAAAUCAAACCCUAAUCCAAACCCUAAUCAAAUCUUAAACCAAAUCCUAAACCAAAUCCUAACCAAACCCUAACCAAACCCUAAACCAAAC